UUUUUGCAGGCAGUAACACAGCCUUGUUGCGUAUAAUUGACCUGGUAGGGUUCGCGUUUGCCGCAUAUGCCGCUUUGCAGACCUAUAAAGGUGAAAAGAAAAAAAUGUGAAUCAGAACCGACAGCAGUUCGUAAUUAAACUCAGAUAAUCUGGAAAAAAAUGUACUCGUAUUAUGCAAAUAUCAGGAUAGAGGAGGCGCGCGAAUACAAAAACCGGCGCAACAACUAGUGGUAUGUUAUAUCCCAUUGUCAUCGUUGAAGUUAUGAUGGAAUCAAUAUACCAGGUUGGAGUCAACAACCACCAUGGCUAGUACUGGCAGUUCAAGACUAGUAAAAAAACAUGUAGUAUUAACAUAUGUUCCGCGGCAGUGAAGGGGUGCUAAUCAUAAAACACGGGCAAAACAACCAUGCCAUUGUUAAAAUUUAGAUUGUAUACUUGAGUCAUGGACCAUCGAACAAAAACAGGCAACAGAUUCAGACUUCUCUGUAUCCGUGGGUGCAGUAGGCCAUGCAAUAGAUUCAGACAUGUCUGUAAUUCAUAAGUGACCCUCAAAUUGACCUUUAAAUAUAAAAUUGGUAGGAAUAUUAUUUCGAACGAAUAUCAUUGGAAACAGGAGAAUCAAGCAAGAGGAUAAAAUCUGGCUCCCGGAAACCACAAAUUUCUCUAUAAUAAAGUUGAUAAGCUCUCCUGGAAAGAAAUGUACCUAUGUUGUUUCUCCCUGAUACUUGACUCGUCAAGCAAGUGGUCGAAAUUCAGCAAAAGAGCCAUCAAGCACACAAACCUUAAGUUGAUUAGAGCCACAACGAAGUUUUUUACUAUUUCCUUGAUUCCUUCUACUAUUGUAUUUUUGGUCAUGCUUGUGGUGUUUAGUUGGAUCCUUCUGCUGCUGUUUAUAUAGAUAUAGAGGCGUCUUGGAGUACCAUAUUUUGUCGUUUUAUUAUUACGGAAAUGUUAACGCUCACACGUGUGGGCGUUAGCCAUCUCAACCACACGCCUCCAUCGCCAUCCAGCAGUAUCUGCACGAAUCUUGGCACGUUUUGACCGAUUUUAUGUGCCACGUAGGACAAGGCGCGUGUGUGGUGUGUGACAUAGUUUGNNNNNNNNNNNNNNNNNNNNNNNNNNNNNNNNNNNNNNNNNNNNNNNNNNNNNNNNNNNNNNNNNNNNNNNNNNNNNNNNNNNNNNNNNNNNNNNNNNNNNNNNNNNNNNNNNNNNNNNNNNNNNNNNNNNNNNNNNNNNNNNNNNNNNNNNNNUGACGUCAAACACAUCGCGCACUUCGCCCCCUCCCCUCACGGUUCUAUUUACUCAUCCCCUCAGUCACUCGCACAACCCACCCCGCAGUUCAGUCGAUUGGAGGAGAAGGCGACGGCGGAGGCGGAAGAGUCGACGGCAUUCGCGGCCGUCGGUGGGACUCGCCGGACCGGAGCGUCUUCGCCGGAGCGCCUACAGAUUGAAGGUAAUGCUCCCUCCCACGCUCCAAAUCCUUGCCUGCAUCUCUCCCCUCCCCUCCGUGGUCGAUGCUUCGCUCGAGAUUCAUCGAGAUUUAGGCGGGUUCGCGAUGCGCCGGCGUUCCCGCCGGCGGCGGAGUCUUGUGCUUGCCGUUUUCGGUGGCAUUGAGCAGUUUCGUCACCGCCGCGGUGGCGGUCACGCCGGUGUGGUUCGGCCUGUCCGGAGCCACAUCCUGGUUGUGCCUUGGGAUUGGGCCGUCGUUUUUCUGUCCGAUAGUUGCGCAUUGCUUCGAAAUGCUAUUUGCGAUCAGUGCAGGGAGAAUUUUGGUGAUGAAUUUCAAGUUAUGUCAGUUGCCAUUGAACCCUAGAUCUAGGUAGUUGUUUUUCAAAGUGCAGUAUGAAUGCAAACAUGGUAGUUUGAGUAACUGUCUGCACCGUAUGGCAACUUUUUUCCUGAUUGAUUGUGAUAGUUGCCACAAAUAUGUUUUCCAUGUGGCAACUAAUUUCGUGCACAUGCUACGGCUGCUGCCACGCUGUAGGCAUGGUAAAGUGUAGUAAAUAGGUAGUCAUUGCAGUUUCAGCAACUAUGUGCACUGGAUGGCAACUAAUUUCCACAUCAACUGUGUCAGUUGCCACAUAUAUGCUUUCCAUGUAGCAGGUAUUUCUGUGAACACACUAUGGCUGUUGCCACAUUUGUAGGCAGGAUAAUGUGGCAAAUUCACUGUACUACAGACCCAAAUUUGUGUUUUUGCCACGCUGACUUGUGGCAACUGACAGGAUAAUGUGGCAUGGCAAAGUAUAGUAACUAGGUUGUCAUGUCAGUUUCAGCAACUAUGUGUACUGGAUGGCAACUAAUUUCCACAUCAACUGUGUCAGAUGCCAUAUAUAUGCUUUCCAUGUGGCCAGUAUCUCUCUGAACAUAGCAUGUCUGUUGCCAUGUUAUAGGCAGGAUAAUGUCGCAAAUUCAUUGUACUGCAGACCCAGUUUUUUGUUUUUGCCACGCUGACUUGUGAUAUAUGAACGUUUUUGUCCGUACUAAAUGGCAACUCAUUUUUAAUAUGAGGUCAGUGUGUGCAUUGCAAUUUUAGGUUGUUCAGUUGAUGUUUUUCAGCGCUUUUUUGAAUUUUGUGUUGCAUUUUAACAUGGCAAUUUCAACCUAGCACAUUUUGCCUUUGAACACAUGGCAACUCAUUUUUGUACGAGGACAGGGUGUGAGCUGCCACAUUUUAUGUUUGUGCAGUGGAAGAUUUGUGCCUUUCUUUCAUACUAUCUUGUGCUAACAUGGAAACUUCAGCAUUUUGUUUCAAGUGCCAUAUGAUCUGUACAUUUUUUCAAAUGAAGCCAAUGUGUUUUGUUGCCACAUUUAUUGUUGGACAAUCAUAGGGGGUGUGGGUGUUCAUACGAUAUUGCCUAAACUUUUUGUCACUUUCAAUUGAGCCCAUGUGGCAAGUACAUUCUGUUAGGUGGCAACUGCUUACUUCAUACUUUCAUUUUUCACCCUGACAUUUUGCUUUGUUCUUACCUCAGCAGAAUGGCUCGCGGCGAUCAUCAAGACGAUGAUGAUGAUUUCAUGGAGUUACCGCGGCAGAAUCGGGCAACUGGACGGAGAAAAGACGGCGAUGAGGUAACUGUCCACACCCCCAGCCCCCUUCCCCCAUAUGUUUUGAAUGUCAUGUUGAGUUUGCAAUCGUCUGAUAGGGGUCUAAACCUUCAUGAUAGUGAAACAUGGCAACAAAUGAUCAUUUCUCUGUUUUGCAGAAGAAGAAACGUAAUCGCAAUAGGGCUUCACAGGAACGCCUGACUAUAUUGACCGAGGGAUUCACCGACGACUAGAAGGGAGCUGCUGCUGAGUUGGGGAUGCAGGCUCUGAUGGAUGUUCGGUGCAAGAAUCUAGUGAACCCUGUAUGCGACUGCUCGGUGAGAUUUACGAGCCCGCCUCCAUGGAAUUUGUGAUUCCGGGACGUGGAAGACUACCGUUAGACGAGGAAUCCGUGUUCUGCACGUUGGGUGUGCCCCGUGGAGAAAUCAAAGUCCCGUAUGAGGUCAAUAAUAUGAUUGAGGAAACGUUGUUUGCCCGUUUGUUUCCUGGGAUGACAUCCAUGCCGAACACGACCGUGCUGGCAACUUCGCUGGAGGGCAUGAAAACCCAUGGCGAAGUUUUUAAGAUGAAGCUACUCAUGUACCUGAUCUCAGCUGUUUUUGCGCCGACCACAUCUCUUCGCCCAAGCAACAAAUGCUUCCCCAUCCUGGUGAAUGCUCUAUCUCUACUCCUUCAUUUUUUACUUCAAUCUUUUGACUCCUAUGUCAUUUGUAAGCUAGUCACUGCCAGUUUUUUUGAUGUUUCCCCAUUUUUGAUUUCUGAUGCAGCAACUUCUUGUCCUGAAAUCUAUGUCGUGCAGGCAAAACUGAAAGAAGUGAAGAACAUGAAUUGGUGUAAGUUCAUUGCGGACUUCCUGCAUGAUGCAUUCUCAAACAAGAUGUACCAGAAGGGUUGUCGACUCCAUUUAAUGGUAUUUUUGUACUACUCUUUUGCAAACACUCCUAGCUCCUUGAGCAUGCAUGGCAACCAUGAUGGUAACAUUGUGGCAACUACCAUCAUACAAGAUGGCAACUGCCAACAUAACUAGAUGGCAACUGCCAACAUAACUAGAUGGCAACUGCCAGCAUAACUAGAUGGCAACUAACAGAAAUACAUGGCAACUCUUUCCUUCUUCAUGCCCUCCAACUUGAUGAUUGAAGGAACAUACGUUAGCUUCUUUUUUACAAAAUACCAUGAUGGCAACUGAUAUUUUUUCUUUUUAAAUUGUUGCACAUCAACUCAUGUACGUCGAUCGUCUAGAUCUGUCCACUGUGGACUUUACUGGGAUAGGAGGCCCGCCGCCUCCACACAAGUUUGAUGUUUCUGCGUGGACUUACGAUGCUGUCAAGGCUGUGCUUGCCGCGGACAAGAUAACUGAUAAGAAAUACGGCAAACUGCAGGUUAGUUCUGCCUUCUUUCUUUGCACGACAUUCUUUCAAUUUUGACGCUGCAUAACAUAUGAAAAAAUCCCCAUACGGCAACCGUCCAUGGCCAACAAGAGAUGACUACCUUGUUAGCCAUGGCUGUCUGCGCAUGGUAUCCAUGUCUUUACGCCACAUGGCAACUCUGCCAUCCAUUUUGAAACUUCUAUCCUCUUCCUCUUUUUUAUUUUAUUUUUGCAAUACAUGAACUGUUAGUUACUGUUCAUUGUUUUCUCUCUUUUACAUGCUAGCUGUUUUUUUGGUUUUUCCAGCUGAUGGCCAAGCAUGCUAUAGACUACAGCGUGUUUGGUGGGCCUCAAAACUUUGGGAAGUGGAUGGACGUGCACUCAGCUCCGUCUUGUCCUGUUGAGGUAAUCAAGGAUAUAUAUCUAUGGUUGUGUUUGGUUUAUUUUGAUCUUGUGCACGUGACUUUAAUACGGUUGGUUACUGCUGCUUCUUGUUUCGUGCACAGGCGAGGGCACCUGUUGAGCAUCUAAUUGGGCAGUUUGCAUCCGGAAUGACCAGCUUGCUUGGGAAGUUGGUUGAGGGUUGGACAUCCCUUAAUGGCUCUGACAGGAACGCGGUUGCGAGGCAGUUCACUCCUUUUGUUGCAGAACGGACACAUCAGCCAACUGGUUGUCGUGGUCGGUACGACUACAAUAGCUCGCAGGAGCUUCCAGACACACAAGAUGAACUAGAUGGAGAUGCUGCUCUCGACAAGGACGAUGACGAUGACAUGGAGAACGUGCAUCAUGACACCGACGAUGAUGAACAUGUUGAAGUUCGUGCAGGUGGUAAGAAGGGCAAGGGUGCACCAGAUGUUCCCUCACCGGAGAAAGUCAAAGAACACACAGCUGCGAGAGGCAAGGGGGUGUUGCCCUCAAAGAGGGUGAGGGAUCCAGAGGAUGUUGGGCAGGGCUCUCCUGUCAAGAGACCUAGGACUGAUCCCUUAGCUACUAGGAGGAGGUUCGACUUCUAUUUUAGUGUUUUGUUUUGUCUAUCCUUUCGAACAGAUUGACCCCUUUUUUCAAUUUGUUUUUGCUAAGCGUGGCAACGAUUUUCGUGUCUGACACUUGGCACCUUUUUUUGCCUGUUUCUUAUAUGUGCAGUGAGGCGACAACUGGUGGACGAGCAGUUACGAAGAAACAAGCACCAACGCCCACCCGUGUUUCUGCUCGAUUGAACAAGGGUGCCCCUAUUGCUGGUGACACGCCUUCCACUAGGUCAUCUCCUCGUAGGUCGACGUCCAACACCGGUGAUCCUGUCGUGUUGCCGGAUUUGAGGAAGACAGUCAAGAAGUAGGUUAUCUCUGUUCUUUUUCAUCGUCAUAUUGCUAUAUUUUUGCUUUUCAAUGCAGCUGUUCAGCUUGCCACAUGUGCUUCUGCCAUGAGUCCCACAUUUGCAACUGCUGUUUCUCCCAUGCUCUAUUUCUUUUUACUACAUGGCAACUCCUGCUUGUUUUUCAUGGCAACUGCUAACUAGUCAAGAUGGCAACUCUUAUUCCACCUACAUGGCAACUACCAGCUUUUCCAUUGUGCACUCAUCCACACCUAGUUUUGAAAUGGCAUUCCUAGCACAUCACACAUUUCUUACAUUUUUUAAGAUGUCUACCAUGGCAACUGCUGCUUGUUACGCAUGGCAACUGCUAACUGGUCCACAUGGCAACUCUUAUUCUACCUACAUGGAAACUAUCAUAUGUUCAUCUAACAAUGUUUCGUGUGUUUUUUUCAGGGUGAAGAAGACUACCACACUCGUGAAGAAGCAGAACCCCAGAGACCCACUCGAACGCAUACACUCAAAGCUGUCGACAGGUGGCAACUCAGACGUUCAUGAGGCGCCAGUGCACAAACCUGCUGCUGCACCGUCCACUGUUCCCACUAGCUCUGAUGCAAGCGGCCGAGCAUCUCCGCCGGUUGCAGAUGUGCAGGCUACGACAGCAGGCAUCCGUACAUCUGGGAGUGACGAGUCGGUAUCUGCCAGGACUGCUGAAAUAUUUCCCACUCUGCUAGCAAUGAACGAUGUUGCUGUGAGCCAUGCCACCCGAUCAGCAAGUGUUGAAGUGGACGCCCCUGAGAUCAACCUAAGCAAGGAAGAUUCCCUCUCAUAUAACACGGAUUCCAAGCGCAUGGGUGGUGGAACUUCUUCGUCCACGAAAGAAGGGGCUGAGGAGAGAGUUCAUAAUGAUAUGCCAUCCAUAGGUGAGACUCUUGGCACAACAGCUCAAGAUUCUGGUGCUCCAGAGGUUGCCAAGGUGACCGUUGCGCGAGCUGGUCUUCCACCUAGGCGUCGUAGCACCCGCAAGCAAUCUGCAGACAUACCCAACGCGCCUGCUGUAGCUAGGAGCAGUAGAGACGACUCUGGUUAUGUGCCUGCGUCCACACUGUUCCCACCACCUGCCAGAAGCAAUGUUAUGGAGAGAACGGAAGACCGGAGUACAACCGACCCAGGUGGCAAGCCGGGCACGACUGACGGAGGUGAACAUGCAGAGCAGACUGUGUCUUUACCCGCAGUGGAUAACCCCAGCUUAAAUCUGCGCACUUCUAAGCUCCCAGUCAACAUCGGUGUCCCCUAUAGCCCAAACAAGAAGAUUGUCAAGAAAGUUGCGACUGAUAUCGCUGACAGCACGCCCCGCCCUACGAAUAAGCCCGAUGAUUCUGCAGCGGCCGAUGCAGAAAUGUUUGUUGAUCUUUCACCCUUGGAUUCUGCCCAGCAAGUUGUUCGCAGUCCGGCCAGUAGGCAGGACAGGCACCCAAUGGCCUUCACCCCACCGAGCUGUAGCCUUGGCAUCGAUCGUAGUCAAGAUGAACCAGUGGUGCAAGAUCCUUCACCAGUUGCCUUUGCUUUCCCUGCAGGCAUGGCCCCAAUGAUGGCGCAGCCAAUGGUCGAGGGCAGGAAGGCUGUGAAGUUCGCAGAGCCGGUUGUGCAAGGUACAUUUCUUAUGCGUUUAUCAUAUUCGUGUAUACAUCUUUUUAGUAUGACUUCUGUCCCAAGCAUUUUUUUUGGGUUCUCACUUUUGUGAUGGCAAAUGUUAUCUGAUGGACAUGGCAACUAGAUUUGCUUGCAUGCUGUCACCUACAUUUUUCUGUCGCCAUGCUGCAUUUUCCAUUCUGCAAGCACAUGGCAACUGCAGUUGAUAGAUCAUGGCAACUGUAGUUGUUGUCACAUGGCAACUACAAUGCAUUGCACUUGGCAACUGGAGUUGCCUGCACAUGGCAACUCCCUACUUUCUGUGCCUACAUUUCAUAUUCUGCAACCCUUCUUUCACACUAAAUUUGUUUUGUUUUCCAGGUAUCCUAACCCACUUUUUUUAUCCUUGCAGCCACCCCUGAGGAGAUUACGCCGUCACUUGAUGAAGCUUACCGCAGGAUCGAGGAGGCAGCAUUGCAGAGGAGGUCCUCACGAGGUCAGGGCCAAUCAAGUUCCAACACGACUGCUGAGUCGGUAUCUGAGGAUACCAUUAGAAGUGCCACCCCUGGUUCUGUGAGGCAGCGUAGGGUAGUUCACGCGCCACCCGCGGAUGAUUAUGAGCCGGAAGUCAAGGCCACAAAGGAUCAGAACCAGUUGUACGAUAUUGUCAAGCACUUUGGAAAUGCGAGGUCCAACAGCAAGCACAUGAAGGAGCUGAAAGCGUAAUGACCACACCCACAUAAACCUCUCAUUUGCUUUGCUCUUUUUACUAUUCAUCCUUUUUGAUAUUUCUAGAUAUGCCCCGUUUAUGUUUUAUUUCCUUUUUUCACUUAGUAGACAUGAUUCUUUCAUGUUAUAUCAUUUUCAUACAGCUCAUGUUUGGACAGAACCAAGAUCAUACAAUGUGAUGCGACGUACGUCGACCUGGGUGAUCUUGCCGAGUCUGUGAGGCCACUCGGUAAAAUAUCGAAGAAUGUAGUUGCAUGUGGGAUUGACUUCAUCAACAGGCAUAUGGAUAUGUCUCCCGACAAAACAAUCAUGCAGUACACUAUGACGUGCAAAAUAUGGGAUGGUGACUUCCACCACAAAAUCUUGAGGAAGCAUUUUGCUGCGCAUGGUGAUUUCAAGCUCACAAUGAAGAAAUGUGUGAGUACUCCUUCCUUUUUUGCACAUUUUUUCCUCCCAUGUUAUUUUUUUGCCAGUAGCUAUGCUUCAGAUGUGGGCUACACCCUGCUUUGUGACAGCUGUUUCAUGUGGCAACAGCUGCCAUGUAAAAUGACUUCUGAUUUGCUUUCCUAAUACAACCUAUGUGGCAACUUCAAACUAAAAUACAUGGCAACUUUGUUCAUACAUGGACGGCAACUUCUUUUAAUUACCCACUACAACUAAACAUUAUACGUUUGUCCACUUUUUUCUUGGCCCCUUGAUGCUUUCGUAGUCACUCAAGUGCCUGUUAGUGUAACCGGUGAUAUCUUUACAUGUCAUUUUCCCAACUUCAUCAUUUCUGUUCUUAAUGUGAGCUCUGCUUCUUUUAUUUCUUUCAAUUUUUGUUUUGCAGGCCUUGUUCCCCAUGUUCCAGGAGCUUGCACCACACGACCCACACGACAAGUGUGGUCACCACUAUGCGAUCUGCCUUGACCUGAAGAACCAACGUUUUGAGGUGCUUGAUUCAAUGCGUUCAGAAGCUGAUGCAGACCUUACUUCGCAUGCUGAAUACUUCAUCAACAACCUCAAAGAGACAUGGAACCGUCACUAUGAAAACUCAAAGGUCCAGAUCAGACAUUUUCCAAUUGAGUACGUGGCGACUACGAAGCAAGGAAACCGGUAUUUUCCCAUCUUUUCCUCAUGUGUCCUCCAAACCAAUGCUCACCCUCUCUUUUUUGUCACCUCUGAAUCGAAGUUUAUGAUUUUUUCUAUAUGUUCUUGUGAGUUAACCUGACUCUUUUCUUGUUUAGGCACGACUGCGGCUUCCACAUGUUGGAAUACCUUGCAAAGUGGGAAGGUCGACGGGUUCCUGUCGUCACAGCUGGAAUGGUCGUCGAGCUCCACAAAAUUUACACAUGGAACUGGUUGAUGAAUGAAGAUUUCAACACGUGGUCCAACGCACGUGAGUUCAUAGAGGAAGUUGUGAAGAAAGCCACCAAGAAGUACAAGUGAUCAUGUGGUGCUCCUGACUGAACGCGUACCUUACAUUCUGUUGCCGAGGAAUGUAAGGUAUUACCUUGUCUUUUCAAAACUAUGUCUGUGUAAUAUGCUAUGACUACAUCUCCCCGUAGCCUAGUAUACAGUGGUGGCGCGUGAGUGACAUUUGAAUAGUUUGUAAUAUAUGUGUGGAUGUGAACCUACUUAGGUUUGACAGCAGAUACGUUUAUGUGUUUUCAGUAUUAUUAUGUGCUUGUGGGUUGGUACUACCAGCAUGGUGUUUUGAAUGCGUCCUUGAAUGUCUGAAAACAUGGCAAAUGUAGUAGAUCAGUCAGGGUUAGUGAAAGUUAUUGUUCUUUCUUGUUUGGCUUUUUCGGUUUUUUUGCACUGCUAACUGUCCCGGCUAGCAUGGUAGUUUGAUCACGGAGCAGUAACAUGUGCGGUUGCUGCACAAGACCGUUUCAGCUUGUUUCCCAUAGUUUGCACUAGAAUACAAUAUGUGUGACUAAAAUGCGCUGACUGAACAUGGAAAUCUACGCGGUGAAGAUUCAGUACAACUAACAUGGCAUGUUCAGUACAACUAACUUGGCAGAUUCAGUAAAAAAUAAGAUGGCAAAUUCAGUAAAAAUAACAUGGGAAAUUCAGUAGAAUGGCAUGGCAGAUUCAGUAGAAAUGGUAUGGCAGAUUCAGUAGAAAUUGCAUGGCAGAUUCAGUUCAAGUAACCUGGCAAAUUCAGUGCCAUACACGUGGCAACUGCAGCUAUUCCUUCAUGGCAUUUUUACUUCAGAUUCUGAUGCACCUGAAGAGUCAUUCUCCAGUUUUUACAAAAUUUAGAACAUCUAGAUUACAAAAAAAAUGUCACCAUGGACCAAGUCAAAGUGCUCCAAUGUUGUUUACGGAUUGCCCGUCCCUUUCUUUGGUUUCUUAUGUUUUGCUUGAAUCUCUAAUCCCGAUUUGUAUCUUAUCUUUUUCGGACGCCCUUUUGUGAUGGAACGGGGCGGGUUCCUAACCUGUGUUUGUGUGCUUGCUGUUCCAGAUCCUACCUCCGAGUUUUCAGAUGAUGGCCGUGUGGACGAAGGCACACUUGAUGUGCGGGGGAACCUGUGUAAGGCUUCCUCGGCUUUCCUCUUCUUGAUCUCAUCAAGCUCUCUUUUGAGGGCCUUCCUGUGUUUUUCUGCGACCUUUGCUGUCUCAUCACUCUUGCACGCUUCAUCAAUUAGUUCAGCAUAGUUCUUUGUCAAAACAACGUGCCUCAUGGCUUCCAUGGUUGACUCUGGUCUCUCGUCAUGCACGGCCAAAAUUGCGUUUGAUGUUUGCGGCGCCAAUGCGUCUUCAGCGUCCCAAGUCCAUCGCCGCCUUAUGAAAUGGCGGGGCAUUCAUGUCACCGCGUUCAAGUCCAUUACUUUUAGAAUGUGAUAGCACACAAUCCCGUCCCGUUCGAAUUUGCAGCAUUGGCAGUAGUAUUCGCCUUUGCUUAUCGAUGCCUUCACAAAGUAGUUCCUUCCCUUGUCUGGGUCUUCAGGUUCUGAAUCCGACAUGCCCAUGAUAGAACACACCUUGAACGUAUGUUCGUCCACCUGGAAAGUCGUGUACAUGCUAGCACGCUUUAUUUCUUCCUGGAAUCUGCAAGUUUUGUGUGGUUUUUGUUAAACUCUUGUGUGAAGUUUUUUGUAGCACCUUUUUGUUUGUUGUGGCCAAUGGAAUUACAAUUCGUUCAAACAUGGCAACUACAGUUCAUUAAACAUGGAAACUGCAGUUGAGUAAACAUGGCAACUGCAGUUCAUUAAACAUGGCAACUGCAUUUCAUUUAAACAUGGCAACUACAUAACAACUUCAAUUUGGCAUUUGCAUUCCAUACCAUCAUGGCCAUUGGAAUCUACAUUUCAUUAAAUAUGGCAACUACAGUUCAUUAAACAUGGCAACUACAGUUCAUCAAACAUGGCAACUGCAGUUCAUCAAACAUGGCAACUGCGGUUGAGUGAACGUGGCAAACUGCAGUUCAUUAAGCAUGGCAAACUGUAGUUCAUUAAGCACGGCAACUACAUAUCAUGUUUACUCUGUACCUAAUGGCUACUUUUCAACACAAUCAUCAUUUUCAAAUAAGCAUUUCAACCGCAUUGCAUUCUACAUUCCACCUGGUACCUUCAUGAUUUGUGCAAAUAAGAUUGUAACACAACUGACUUACUUGUUAAAAAUCGUGUUGGUGUAUAUCUUGCUCAUCUGCCUCUCCAUUGGUAAAUACGUUAGCAAUUUUGGCUGCUUGAGCGCGGUGUUUGCUUCUUGCUGUAGCUCGAAUCCCAGUAUUUUUUAUUGCAAAGCAGUGUACUGCUUGGCAAACUAUAGUAAUGAGUUGCCAGGGCUCAUGUACCGCUUCAAAACAGCAUUGAACCCCUGACUGCGCUGUGUAGUCUACAGAAACGGGAAGAAGCACUGCAUGAAGUAGGCCGGCGCCCAGUACAUUUGCUUCUCCCACAAGCUAGCAAGCGUCUCGUGGUCUUGGACUUGAUUUGUUUCAAUCAUAGCCAUCCAGCUCCUUUCAAACUCCUCCACCGUCAAGCUGUGGUCCACGCACAGCUCGAAUGCCUUGUGCAGGUCUGGACGGUCAGCAAAGAACGGUCCUAGUGUCUCCUCAGCCUUCUUUAUAAUGUGCCACCUGCAGUGCCUGUGCACUGCCAACGGAAAGACCUCCUCCAUUCCUGCACGCAUGCUAAAAUCCUGGUCUGUUAUUAUGUUCAUCGGAGCAAGUCCACCCAUGCACUCCAAGAAGGUCUUGAACAGCCAAUAGUACCCAUCCGUGUCUUCGUUCCGAACGAGCCCGCAACUGAACUGCAAUUACUGAUUGUGGUUAUUUAUUCCUAUGAAUGGAGCGCAUGGCAUCUUGUACAUAUUAGUGACAUAUGUCGCGUCGAAUGAAAUGCAAUCUCGGAAAUGUUUGUAGGCUCUUCUUGCAGCACCAUCCACCCAAUACAUGUUCCUGACACGGUCCUCAUCGUCCAAUCUUAUCCUGUAGAAGAAAUCUGGAUCUUCCUUCGCUUUCUCAUCGAAGUAGGCUAUUGUGGCCUCUAUGUCAGCCAACUUGCUCUCUCUAUGGUACUUUGCCUUUAGGUUUGUGACGUCAGCUGGUAUGUCGGGCAUGCUACUCAAAGUCCCUUUUUUGCUGUGGAUGAGUGAUAGUAUCUGGACCAUUCUUGAUGGACCGACGUUACAAUCAUGUAGCAGCUUUAUGAAUUUCUUCUCGAGGGGGGUGAAUCCUCUGUGGGCGGUCAGAAAUUUUACCAGGUCGAACUUCUUUAUGAGUUUGUGGUUGUGCUCAUCAAAAUAUUCAGUGACCACCCACUGUGCUCCAUCUACGUUUAGCUUACACCGGACAGGGCAUUCCGUCUUGAGAAUGAUACCUCUCUUUCGUUUCGGAACGAGAUGCGCAACACCUUUCCCCUUCUUGUUCCUUCGUACCUUGUGGCACCUCAUCUCACCUCUGCUGUACUCCUUAGUUUUCUUAAUUUUUCUAUGGUAUUCGGUGUUGACCGCAAAUCCAUGGAACUUUGCAUAUGUCUGGUCGAAUUCCUUUACCUCUGCGAAUGAUUCAAAUCUUUGCCCAACGUAAGGUGGCUGAGGUACCAUGAUCUAUGAUUGCCCACCAUCUUCAUCCCCUUGUGCUUCAUCAUCAGUUUCAUCAUUCACUUCAGUAUCGGCGGCACUUUCAUCUACUUGAGUGUUGCCAGUGCUUGUGUUCAAAGGUGCGCUUGUCGGCAUUGCUGGAAUGAUUGCCAUUUCCGACUCUGACUCGGCAUUGUUUGCAGCAUGAUUGUUGGCUGGCUGGUGGAAUGCGUCUUUCGUGCGCUCAGAGCUCCCCGCAGUAGAUGUCCCCGCGCCGCUGUUGAUUGUAGUUGAAGGCCCUGUAAUAAAAGAAACAGGUACGAGCGUAAGAUUUUGCUUGAAUGACAUGUUUAUGGUAAUGGAGUACAUAAACUGCAAGUGAUUUGGCAUGACAUCAUUCAAACAGCAAGCCGUGAGUCUGCAUGUGGACAUGCAUGGCAACUGUAGUUCUCCAGUCAUGGCAGCUACAGUCCAACAAACAUGGCAACUACUGUUGCCAAUGCAUGGCAACCAGCUCCUUUCAGUACCAAAACUUGGAUUCUAUAUCAAUGGCAGCUGUAGUCCUACAUACAUGGCAAAUACUGUUGCCAAUACAUGGCAACCAGUAUAUUCUAGCAUCAAAACUUUGUAUUCUAGGCUUGAUCUCACUAGGCAAAUGCGAUCAAUCAUUAGUGUUGCACACAUGCUUUUAGCAAUUGGCAAAUCCCGAAGACAAUAUAUGAGUCAUUGCACACGACCACUUGUUAGCGUUUUCUGUUUGAUUUUUUCCACCAUCACUGCUACAAAUCUUCUUUUCCUCACAUGCUAUUCCCACAAAAACAAAUGCAGUGUUGUUUUUGUGGUUCAAAUGUCCUUACCUUGUUGUGCCGCAUGUGCCCAUCUUGUGUGUUCUGUCACACCAAAUUGACGUGCUCUGUCUGCAAUCUGUGAAGCUUGCCAUGAGACGUUUGCCGAGGUAGCACCACCGUAAUAACCUGUAAUCAUGGUAGUAGUUGGUCAAUGCAUGGCAACUGUAGUUUCUUCAACAUGGAACAUGCAGUGGUCCAACCAUGCCACACAGAUUUGUUCACACUUGCCAUCCAUGGUUGUUUGUACAUUGCAAUCACAUUUUUGAUCAUACAUGGCAACUGCAGUUUGUCCUGGCAUGGCAACUGUAGUUGCCCAUGCAUGGAAACUGCAGCUGUCCAGGCAUGGCAACUGCAGCUGUCCUGGCAUGGCAACUGCAGCUGUCCAGGGAUGGCAACUGCAGUUGUUCAGUCAUGGCAACUGCAGUUGUCAACUAUGCUCCUUCUGCUAAUUCACCGUCUGCAACUUCACUUUUUAUGGACUCACCUGUGUACGCCGUCGAUGGCAGGUACAUGGGUGCCGCCUGAUGCCACGUGCUGCAUGAAGGUUCUGCAUUUUUCCCGACAUAACUCGUGAGUCUUUUGCCAUCCUUUGCAAGUUUAUUUUUCAUGUCCACACCAGUAUGUUUCAUUUUUUCGUAUGCGUUACCUUGAUUCGCCACAUUAACUAGUUGAAGUUGGCUGCCCGUACAUUUGUCAGUGUUAGCGCCCUGUGACUGAACUUGCCAUGGUGCCCCCCUGAGUGUGUUUUGGUCAUAAGAACUUGCGAAAAAUGAUAGUGUAGGACAUAAGUAGAAUGUCAUCUUCAUCAUCGCGAACAUGGAAAAUGUUCUUUUCUUUUGUUAUCAUGCAUCAUACCAAUGCCUGUGUACUGCUCUAGUAGUGGCAGCAACGGCCCUGCAGAAAUGAGUUGACUGUACUCUGCUGCAUCCCAAGGGGGCGUUUCUGGCCUUUGAGAAACCCAAGGAUCAGCGCCAUCUUUGUGAUUCAUUCUUUCCGCGUUUUGUUUCUGCCAAUGUGUUCUCAAUCACUGCAUGAACAAGAACGCAUCAACAAUCCGCAAAAAAUGUAUUCUUCUACUGCUUGCACGUACAAGAUAACACGGCAGUCUCAUCACCUUUUCAUGCGUAGGCAACCAACACAUCAUGGCAAGUAGGACAUGCACAUCCACUCUCUUUUCUACAAUCUGGGUGCCAGCUAUCCUUUCGAUUCGAUGGCAACAGCCACCACAAUAGGAUGGCAAGCAACAGGUCAACAUGGUGGCAGUUAACGGCAACGAUAGGUGGCAACUGACGUUAGACACAAGUGGCAACUAAUUUUCCUACCCGCCCCCCCCCCCUUAUUCCAAAUUUCUCAUUUCUCUCCCUUUUUAGGGAUUCCUAUGCAUCCANNNNNNNNNNNNNNNNNNNNNNNNNNNNNNNNNNNNNNNNNNNNNNNNNNNNNNNNNNNNNNNNNNNNNNNNNNNNNNNNNNNNNNNNNNNNNNNNNNNNNNNNNNNNNNNNNNNNNNNNNNNNNNNNNNNNNNNNNNNNNNNNNNNNNNNNNNNNNNNNNNNNNNNNNNNNNNNNNNNNNNNNNNNNNNNNNNNNNNNNNNNNNNNNNNNNNNNNNNNNNNNNNNNNNNNNNNNNNNNNNNNNNNNNNNNNNNNNNNNNNNNNNNNNNNNNNNNNNNNNNNNNNNNNNNNNNNNNNNNNNNNNNNNNNNNNNNNNNNNNNNNNNNNNNNNNNNAGUCGCCACCUUCGUUGGUAAAUUUGCAAUUUUCUACCCAGAAGAAGGAUGAGAAGCACUAGGAGAUCGGAGAUUCACCUGCUUUUAGCUGGUUGUCUUUGGAGGGCGGGGUUGGAGUGGGGGCGGGGGGUGGGGGUGGGGAGGGGGGUGUGGUUAGCGGUGGGAAGGCCCUACGGAUCUGCUCUGGUUGCCAUGGCAACCAGAGAAGGCCGGCGAUGGAGGUAGGGGAUCGAGAGGUGGGAGACGAUAGCGGCAGUCGAGACUGGGGAUCGAAAGGAGGCCGGGACGGCUGGGUCGUGCAGGCAGCGUGGUCUUCUGGCCCGGACGUGUGGGCGGGUUUGCCAUACACCGGACGUGCGGGCUGUGGCUUUGCGCGCCCGGACGCGGUCGUGCGGGCGGGUUGCUACCCAUGCCACACGAGGCGUGCGGCGCAACCACCCGAUACACCACACGUGUGGCAGUUAUCGGGACCCUAUUAUUAUUAUUACUUCCUGCAUUAGUGUUUCCUUUGUAUGGUUCGCGGUAAUUAAUUAAGAUCCUCCAGUAAUAGGCACAUCAUGGAAUAUCCUCUGGAUGUCGAUUUAUUCGCUCUAGAAUAUACCAUACAAAAUUAAUUACUAGAGAACGUUAAAAAAAUUAAUAAAAUGAUUUUUUUAAAAAAAAUUAAAUUAAUUAAUAAAAAUUAAUAAAUAAAUUAAGAUAAUUAAUUAACUUAAUUAAUCCUGUUAAUAUUAACUAAUUAAGAUUAAUUAACUUAAUAACUAAUUAACCUAAUUAACUACUGUUAAUUAGAGCAGGUCAACGGUCAACGUUGACUGCUGACGUCAUGCUGAUGCAUUAAUUAAAUUUCGAAUUAAAUUCUAAAAAUGAUUUAAAUCUUUUUUAUUUAAUAUAAAAUAAACCGUAGCUCGGAUGGAAAAACUUUGUACAUGAAAGUUGCUCAGAACGACGAGACGAAUCCGAAUACGUAGUCCGUUUGUCAGCCACACGUUCCUAGCUUAGCAAAGAUGGAACUUUCCCCCUCCGGUCUGUCUGUCCGAAAACGCGAAACAUCGGGAAUACUUUCCCGGAUGUUCCCCCCUUCGCCGGUACCACCUACUGCCGCGUUAGGGCACACCUAGCACCGCUCAUUGUCAUGUCACGCAUCGUCAUGCUUAUGAUUGCAUUGUAUUUACUGUUUCUUCCCCCCUUCUCUCCGGUAGACUACGAGACCGACGCUGCUGCUGCCCAGUUCGACUACGAAGUUGACGACCCCUCCUACUUGCCAGAGCAACCAGGCAAGCCCCCCCUUGAUCACCAGAUAUCGCCUAUUCUUCUCUAUACUGCUUGCAUUAGAGUAGUGUAGCAUGUUACUCUUUCCGUUAAUCCUAUCCUGAUGCAUAGCAUGUCCUUACUACUACUGUUGUUACCUUUACCUGCAAUCCUACAUGCUUAGUAUAGGAUGCUAGUUUUCCAUCAAUGGCCCUACAUUCUUGUCCAUCUGCUGUGCUAUACUAUCGGGCCGUGAUCACUUGGGCGGUGAUCACGGGUAUAUACUUAUAUACUAUAUACAUGACACAUGUGGUGACUAAAGUCGGGUCGGCUCGUAGGAGUACCCGCAAGUGGAUCUUUGUGGCGGAGCGACAAGGCAGGUUGAGACCACCUAGGAGAGAGGUGGGCCUGGCCCUGGACGGCGUCCGCAGUUACUUCAACAUAACACGCUUAACGAGUUCUUGGUAUUUGAUCUGAGUCUGGCCAUUUGGUCUAUACGCACUAACUAGCUACGCGGGAACAGUUAUGGGCACUCGACGUCAUGGUAUCAACCGAAGCUCUUCUUGACGUCAGCGAUGGAGCGGCGCGCGCCGGAUUGGACUGGAACGCCACUAGGCUAGGUCUGCUUCCGGCCGCCCUCGCAACGUGCGGGUGUGCAAUGGGCGAUGGGCCCAGACCCCUGGGCGCAUAGGAUUUAGACCGGCGUGUUGACCUCUCUGUUGAGCCUAGGUGGGGCUGCGAUGUGUUGAUCUUACGAGGCCGGGCAUGACCUAGAAAAGUGUGUCCGGCCAAAUGGGAUCGAGCGUGUUGGGUUAUGUGGUGCACCCCUGCAGGGAAGUUUAUCUAUUCGAAUAGCCGUGUCCCUCGGUAAAAGGACAACCCAGAGUUGUACCUUGACCUUAUGACAACUAGAACCGGAUACUUAAUAAAAUACACACUUCCAAGUGCCAGAUACAAUCCGGUGAUCGCUCUCUAACAGGGCGACGAGGAGGGGAUCGCCGGGUAGGAUUAUGCUAUGCGAUGCUACUUGGAGGACUUCAAUCUACCCUCUUCUACAUGCUGCAAGAUGGAGAUGGCCAGAAGCGUAGUCUUCGACAGGAUUAGCUAUCCCCCUCUUAUUCUGGCAUUCUGCAGUUCAGUCCACUGAUAUGGCCCUUUACACAUACCCAUGCAUAUGUAGUGUAGCUCCUUGCUUGCGAGUACUUUGGAUGAGUACUCACGGUUGCUUUUCUCCCUCUUUUCCCCCUUUCCUUUCUACCUAGUUGUCGCAACCAGAUGCUGGAGUCCAGGAGCCAGACGCCACCGUCGACGAUGACUCCUACGGUACUGGAGGAGCCUACUACUACGUGCAGCCCGCUGACGACGACCAGGAGUAGUUAGGAGGAUCCCAAGCAGGAGGCAUGCGCCUCGUUCGAUCUGUAUCCCAGUUUGUGCUAGCCUUCUUAAGGCAAACUUGUUUAACUUAUGUCUGUACUCAGAUAUUGUUGCUUCCGCUGACUCGUCUGUGAUCGAGCACUUGUAUUCGAGCCCUCGAGGCCCCUGGCUUGUAUUAUGAUGCUUGUAUGACUUAUUUAUGUUUUAGAGUUGUGUUGUGAUAUCUUCCCAUGAGUCCCUGAUCUUGAUCGUACACAUUUGCAUGCAUGAUUAGUGUACGGUCAAAUCGGGGGCGUCACAUUAUUGUUCACAGCGGUCCGACCGCAGGAGACGAGCUGCAUAACUCUGGUCACCCACCGGUCGUCGAAGCCCUUGCGGAGCAGUACUUCCCGAAGGAAAGGCCAGUGGACCGUGUCGUAUGCUUUGUGGAAGUCAAGCUUCAGAAAGACCGCACGAAGGUGUUUAGUCUGGACCUCGUGCAGGACUUCGUGAAAGACCAACACCCCAUCCAGAAUAAAUCGGCCUUGGAUGAAGGCGGAUUGGUUGGGGUGGGUAACCGAGUCAACAAGAAGGGUCACCCUAUUGGCGUACCCUUUAGCCAGGAUCCGGAAUAUCACAUUGAUCACUGUGAUAGGCCGAAACUGGCGAAUAUCGGAGGCACCCGGGACCUUGGGGAUGAGGGUAACGAUCCCAUAGUUUAGACGCCCAAGGUCCAUGGACCCCAAGUAGAACUCCUCAAAAAGGGCCAUGACUUCCGGUUUGAUGGUCUGCCAGAACGUUUUGAAGAACGUCACUGGCAGGCCAUCCGGACCCGGGGCCGAGGAGGGGUUCAUCCCCUUAAUGGAGGCGAAGACCUCAUCUUCGGCGAAGGGGGCUACCAAGGCCGCGUUUGCCUCGGCAGAGACCAACUGGUUAGCCGACCAAGUGUCGGGAGCCAGGCUAGCCCCACCCCGAGGGGUGGGGAAAAAAGGGCUUUAUGAAAGCCGUCGACGUGGGAACGGAUGUCCGAGGGGCGGACGAGAGGAGUAUCCCCAUCCCACAAGCAAUGGAUGGAGUUCCAACGCCGCCGCCCAUUAGCAAUCGCCUGGAAGUAGGCGGUGUUGGCGUCGCCGCGGAGCACCCACCGUUGGGUACCGCGAAGCCUCCAAUAAGCCUCUUCAUCCGUUUAGAUGGUCGAGAGCUGGUCUUCGAGAUCAUAUCUUAGCAUCCAUUCAUCCAGGGAGAUCCCGGAGGUGUCGGCACGGGCGUCCAAGGCUUGGAUAGACAGGAGGGCCCGCUUGCACUUGCGAAGGUCAUGGCCAAGGUUAGCGCCCCAUCCCUUCAUGAAUUGGCGGGCGAGCUUGGCACAGAACUGCCACGAGUCGACGGCGGACCUGGAGCGGUGCGGGGAAGAGCGAGCGGAGAUCCACCUCGCGACGACCGCCUCCCGAAAGCCGGCCUGAUUGAGCCAGAAGAGCUCAAACCGAAAACAUGGCGGGAUGGGGGGCGUUCGUCAGCGGUGGAGAGGAGGAGAGGGACAUGGUCAGACCCGAUCCGGGUAAUCGCAUGAAGCGAGCCCGGGGGGCAACUAAGCUCCCACUCCGGGGAAACUAGGACGUGAUCCAGGGCGGACUGCGUCGGGUCUACUUGUCGGUUUGUCCAGGUGAACCGGGCACCCGUCCGUUCUAGCUCACGGAGGCCGAGCUCCGCGAUCCAGUCGUUGAACAACUGCAUUCGGGGGAGGUUGAUCCGGUCAUUAUUUUUCUCAUUCGGGGAGCGGAUGAGGUUAAAGUCUCCGCCCACGACUACAGGGAGGAGGGAGUAGGAGAUCUUCUGUUGCAACUCAACAAGGAAGGCCGGGGAGCGGCGGUGAUCCGCCGGCCCAUACAUGAUCAUGAUCUCCCAUUUGAAGUUGAGUGCGCGCUCAAAGAUCUCCAUACCGGCGAAGAAUUCUCCCCGGUCCAUGCCGCCCACCUCGAAGGUGGCAUCCUUUACCCCUAAAAGGAUGCCACCCGAGUGCCCCGUGGUCCCACUAGAAGGGAGCCAAUGCCAGGUGAAGAGGUGAGGACUAAGACAGUCAAGUUCGUGGAGGGAGAACUCAGUGCGCAUGGUUUCCUGGAUGGCAAUGAUGUCGAUGUGUUCGUCGCGCAUGUACUAGAUGAGUUGGCGGCGUCGGCCAUCAUGGCCGAAACUGCGGAUGUUCUAGAAAAGGGCCUGCAUUUAGACCCCCAUCAGGGGCUGCUUGACCCCAGGACACGAGAUGCACUCAGCGCAUGGAGUGCAGAGUGCGAGAAUGGGUGCGCCCAUGGAUCAACUCAUCGGCCACCGGCGGAGCCCGAGCCGCAGGGGUGGCGGUCGGUGCCGCGGGUUGGCGGAGGAGGCAUGCCCGGGUUUCAGCAAGCUUGCCAUCUAAGAUCUCAUGGGCCCUAAUGGCCGCGAUCUGCUCUAAGGGGGGACCAACUUCCCCCCUGAAGAUGAUGGCCGAGUCAGUGGCCACCUUGGCGAGGUGGCCAAGAGGAACGGCCUCGAGCGUGGAAAAGGAACAACUGGAGGAACUGGGAAGGACGGAAUCCGCACCUGGCUCAAGGUUCUGGGCCGCCGCCCAGAGCUCAGCACGCUCGGGGACGGACGGAGCCGGGGAGUCCGCCGGACAGGCCGCGUCGAGGCGGGCGCUGCGGCGAGACACAGUCACCGGCGUCAAGGUGGAGCGGGGCCCCCGGGCGUACGCCACUGUCCGUGGGGGGUGCGCGGUGACCGGAGUGGUCAUGACGUCAAACACCGGCACAGCCAGUGGACCUGGAGAGGCAAGAGGGUCGUUGGAGGCCACCAGAGGAGGGAGCGGGGUGAGGGGCUCCAGGGUGCUGCCGGCCGCGUCCUCCUCGGGUGGGGGAGCCGGAGUGGGCGCGGAGAGCAGAGCACCACCGUCGCCGCUCGUGGGGAUCGGGGAGGUCACGCCAGGGGGGACGGGGGCGGUGGGCUCGACGACGCAGGACGAAGGGCGGAGUCGGUGGACGGAGAGCGGGGCGACGAGGGCGGCAAGACGAGCAGGCCCACACUGGAGAUGUCACUGGCCGACUUCGGCGGAGGAGGGGAGGUCGGAGGAGGGGGCGGCCAGUCGGAGAGCGACCGCGAGGUCGGCUGCCGACACACGGGAGCGCCUGGUCCCGGAGCCGCCAUGACCCGAAGGUGGGUUGACAGGCUCACGAGACGGGGAGCGGGAGUGCUCUGACAGGUCGUCGUCGUCCUCGGGGUCGUCGGGGCGGGAGUGGUGGGGCCGCCUGUGGUGGGAGUCAUCGGCAUCAGCUGGGCCGCCCCCUGGUGGCCGUCGUCGGAGAAGCGGGGGCGGCCGAUGUGGUUCGGUGGCUCGGGGCAGAUCUUGAGGUCAUAGCCGUCGUCAUUGAAGAAGACGCGGAUCGUGGCGCGGAGCUUGGAAGAGUCCAGGGACUUCACCUUGACCCGGACCUCCUCCUCCUUGCGCAGAGAGAGCUCGACGACCACCACCAGCUUGCCCAAGAUCUUGGACAUACUGCGAAUGACACGCUCAGACCGGGCCACAUCAGGCAGGCCGGUGAUGAGGAGCCAAGCAGUGUCCAGUACCGCCACGGCCUUGGGAUCCCACUUCGGCUCAGAUAUGUUCACCACUAGCCCAUUGAGGGCCAAGGUGAUGUUGCUGCUGUGGGUGCAGUAUCCCAUGCUCAGGGCAUCAGGGAAGACCAUCGUGAAAGCGUUGGCAGAAGUGGAGGCCACCUGCCAAUCCCACUUGCACCGACACAAGUGGUUGAGCUCGGCCUCGAUCAUCUCCGGAGUGGCGACGCCCUCGUCCACGACAGACACGAGUGCUAGGAGCGAGGCGGAGGGAGGGGGAACAUCCGGCACCUCAAUGUGGAAGAAGCCCGUGUCCUCGAUGCCGUGGACGUACAUCAUGAGCUCCUCCGUCAUCGGACGGUCCGGGCACAGAAUCGCGGGGUGGUCGGGGUCCUUGCAGAGGUAGCACAUCGGUGGGUUGGGGCAGGCCACCUGGAAGUGCCUAGCACGGCCGCAGUUGAAGCACGGCGGGGCGUCCGAGGCGGAGUCGGUGGCAGGGGGAGCCGCCGCGGCGGGUGUGGUGGCGGAAGCCGGGGGGCGAGGAGGUCCCUUCUUCUUCUUAGCGCCCUGGCACCCCGGUUCCCAUUGCCUCCAUUGGUCGGAGGAAAGGAAGCUUGGUUUUGCGGUGGUUGAUACCGGUGGGUGAUACGUCUCCAAUGUAUCUAUAAUUUUUUAUUGGUCCAUGCUAUUAUAUUAUCCAUCUAGGAUGUUUUAUAUGCAUUUAUAUGCUAUUUUAUAUGAUUUUUGGGACUAACCUAUUAACCUAGAGCCCAGUGCCAGUUUCUGUUUUGUCCUUGUUUUUUAGUUUUACAAAAAGGAAUACCAAACGGAGUCCAAUUGACGUGCCAAUUUUUGAUGAUUUUUUAUGGACCCAAAGAAGCCCCCGGAGUAAAAUAGUUGGGCCAGAAGAGUCCCGGGCCGUCCACGAGGGUGGAGGGCGCGCCCUACCCCCUGGGCGCGCCCCCCUGCCUCGUGGAUGACUCGGAUACCCCCCUGGCGUGAGAUCAACGCCAAAAAUUCCUAUAAAUACAGAAACCCCUAGAAAGAAAAACCUAGAUCGGGAGUUCCGACACCGCAAGCCUCUGUAGCUCUGGAGGGGGGAUCCUUCACUGGUGGCCAUCUUCAUCAUCCCAGCGAUCUCCAUGACGAGGAGGGAGUAGUUCACUCUCGGGGCUGAGGGUAUGUACCAGUAGCUAUGUGUUUGAUCUCUCUCUCUCUCGUGUUCUCGAUUCGGCACGAUCUUGAUGUAUCGCGAGCUUUGCUAUUAUAGUUGGAUCUUAUGAUGUUUCUCCCCCUCUACUCUCUUGUAAUGGAUUGAAUUUUUCCUUUGAAGUUAUCUUAUCGGAUUGAGUCUUUAAGCAUUUGAGAACACUUCAUGUAUGUCUUGCGUGGGAUACCCGUGGUGACAAUGGGGUAUUCUAUUGAUCCACUUGAUGUAUGUUUUGGUGACCACUUGCGGGUUACGUGACCUUGGGAAUCUAUGCAUAAGGGUUGGCACACGUUUUCGUCUUGACUCUCCGGUAGAAACUUUGGGGCACUCUUUGAAGUUCUUUGUGUUGGUUGAAUAGAUGAAACUGAGAUUGUGUGAUGCAUAUCGUAUAAUCGUACCCACGGAUACUUGUGGUGACAUUGGAGUAUCUAGGUGACAUUAGGGUUUUGGUUGAUUUGUAUCUUAAGGUGUUAUUCUAGUACGAACUCUAGGAUAGAUCGAACGGAAAGAAUAGCUUCGUGUUAUUUUACUACGGACUCUUGAAUAGAUCGAUCAGAAAGGAUAACUUUGAGGUGGUUUCGUACCCUACAAUAAUCUCUUCGUUUGUUCUCCGCUAUUCGUGACUUUGGAGUGACUCUUUGUUGCAUGUUGAGGGAUUGUUAUAUGAUCCAAUUAUGUUAUUAUUGUUGAGAGAACUUGCACUAGUGAAAGUAUGAACCUUAGGCCUUGUUUCCUAGCAUUGCAAUACUGUUUACGCUCACUUUUACCACUUGCUACCUUGCUGUUUUUAUAUUAUCAGAUUACAAAAACCUAUACCUACCAUCCAUAUUGCACUUGUAUCACCAUCUCUUCGCUGAACUAGUGCACCUAUACAAUUUACCAUUGUAUUGGGUGUGUUGGGGACACAAGAGACUCUUUGUUAUUUGGUUGCAGGGUUGCUUGAGAGAGACCAUCUUCAUCCUACGCCUCCCACGGAUUGAUAAACCUUAGGUCAUCCACUUGAGGGAAAUUUGCUACUGUCCUACAAACCUCUGCACUUGGAGGACCAACAACAUCUACAAGAAUAAGGUUGUGUAGUAGACAUCAAGCUCUUUUCUGGCGCCGUUGCCGGGGAGGCUAGGUAAGCGGCACUAACACCCCGUCAACUAAGCUCUUUUCUGGCGCCGUUGCCGGGGAGGUUAGUGCUUGAAGGUUUAUCUUUAGAUCUUGCAAUCGAAUCUUUUUGUUUCUUGUUUUAUCACUAGUUUAUUCUAUAAAAGAAAACUACAAAAAAUGGAAUUGAGGGUGCCUCAUAUGCUUCAUCUUUUUAAUGUCUUUCGUGAAAAUGAUGGAAAGGAAAAUUGUGUUCAUGUGAUAGAAGAAGAAUGCAUUAGAAUGUUUGGCACUAAAUCUUUGUAUGAUGAGCAUGAUUGCAAUGUUGUUAGUAUGAAUUCUUUGAAUAUCCAUGAUGCUAAUGAUAUGCAAAGCCACAAGUUGGGGAUGCUAUGUUUGAUGAAGAUGAUAUUUUUAGUCCCCCAAGUUUUGAUGAGAAUAUUUAUUUUGAUGAUAGCAUGCCUCCUAUUGAUGAUGAUUAUUGUGAUGACAUGUAUGCUAUUAACCAUAAAACUUGUCAUCAUGAUUUUAAUUUUAAAUUGGAUUAUGCCUCACAUGAUAGUUAUUUUGUUGAGUUCGCUCCCACUACUAUUGAUGAGAAUAAGUUUGCUUACGUGGAGAGUAGCAAAAUUUCUAUGCUUGUAGAUCAUGAAAAGAAUGCUUUAUGUGAUAAUUAUAUUGUUGAAUUCAUUCAUGAUGCUACUGAAAAUUAUUAUGAGGGAGGAAUAUAUGCUUGUAGGAAUUGCAAUAAUAUCAAGUUUCCUCUCUAUGUGUUGAAAAUCUUGAAGUUAUGCUUGUUUUGCCUUCCUAUGCUAGUUGAUUAUUGUUCCCAUAAGUUGUUUGCUCACAAAAUCCCUAUGCAUAGAAAGUGGGUUAGACUUAAAUGUGCUAGUAAUAUUCUUCAUGAUGCUCUCUUUAUGUUUCAAUUCUUAUCUUUUAUGUGAGCAUCAUUGAAAUCAUCAUGCCUAGCUAGGAGCGUUAAACAAUAGCGCUUGUUGGGAGGCAACCCAAUUUUAUUUUUGUUCUUUGAUUUUUGCCCCUGUUUAGUAAUAAAUAAUUCAUCUAUCCUCUGUUUAGAUGUGCUUUUAUGUUUUAACUAGUGUUUGUGCCAAGUAGAACCUUUGGGAAGACUUGGGUAAAGUCUUUGCGAUCUUGCUGUAAAAAACAGAAACUUUUGCGCUCACGAGAUUAGCUGCCAUUUUUUACUGGAGAGUGAUUUUAGGUUGAUUCUUUUUGCAGAUGAUUCAUAGAAAAAUUCCUCACGUCCACAAAUUUAUUUCAGAAUUUUUGGAGUUACAGAAGUAUUCUAAUGAUACAGAUUACUACAGACUAUUCUGUUUUUGACAGAUUCUGUUUUCUAUGUGUUGUUUGCUUAUUUUGAUGAAUCUAUGAGUAGUAUCGGAGGGUAUGAACCAUAGAGAAGUUGGAAUACAGUAGAUAUUACACAAAUAUGAAUUUAUAAUGAGUUCAAAACAGUACCUAAGUGGUGAUUUAUUUUCUUAUACUAACGGAGCUUACGAGUUUUCUGUUAAGUUUUGUGUUGUGAAGUUUUCAAGUUUUGGGUAAAGAUUCGAUGGACUAUGGAAUAAGGAGUGGCAAGAGCCUAAGAUUGGGGAUGCCCAAGGCACCCCAAGGUAAUAUUCAAGGACAACCAAGAGCCUAAGCUUGUGGAUGCCCCGGAUGGCAUCCCCUCUUUCAUCUUCGUUCAUCAGUAACUUUACUUGGAGCUAUAUUUUUAUUCACCACAUGAUAUGUGUUUUGCUUGGAGCGUCAUUUUAUUUUAUUUAGUUUUCCUUGCUGUUUGAAUAAUAUCCCAAGAUAUGAAAUUCUUAAAUGUUAGAGAGUCUUCACAUAGUUACAUAAUUAUUCGACUGCUCAUUGAUCUUCACUUAUAUCUUUUGGAGUAGUUUGUCAUUUGCUCUAGUGGUUCACUUAUAUCUUUUUAGAGCAUGACGGUGGUUUUAUUUUGAAGAAAUAGAUGAUCUCUCAUGCUUCACUUAUAUUAUUUUGAGAGUCUUUUAUAACAGCAUGGUAAUUUUCUUUGGCUAUAAAAUUAGUCCUAAUAUGAUGGGCAUCCAAGAUGGGUAUAAUAAAAACUUUCAUAUAAAGUGCAUUGAAUACUAUGAGAAGUUUCAUGCUUGAUGAUUGUUUUGAGAUAUGAAGAUGGUGAUAUUAGAGUCAUGCUAGUUGAGUAAUUGUGAAUUUGAGAAAUACUUGUGUUGAGGUUUGCAAGUCCCGUAGCAUGCACGUAUGGUAACCGUUGUGUAACAAAUUUGAAGCAUGAGGUGUUUCUUUGAUUGUCUUCCUUAUGAGUGGUGGUCGGGGACAAGCGAUGGUCUUUUCCUACCAAUCUAUCCCCCUAGGAGCAUGCACGUAGUGCUUGGUUUUGAUGACUUGUAGAUUUUUGCAAUACGUAUGUGAGUUAUUUAUGACUAAUGUUGAGUCCAUGGAUUAUACACACUCUCACCCUUCCACCAUUGCUAGCCUCUCUAGUACUGCCCAACUUUCGCUGGUACCAUAAACCCACCAUAUACCUUCCUCAAAACAGCCACCAUACCUACCUAUUAUGGCAUUUCCAUAGCCAUUCCGAGAUAUAUUGCCAUGCAACUUUCCACCAUUCUGUUUAUUAUGACACGCUUCAUCAUUGUCAUAUUGCCUUGCAUGAUCAUGUAGUUGACGUCGUAUUUGUGGCAAAGCCACCAUUCAUAAUUUUUCAUACAUGUCACUCUUGAUUCAUUGCGCAUCCCGGUACACUGUCGGAGGCACUCGUAUAGAGUCAUAUUUUGUUCUAAGUAUCGAGUUAUAAUCCUUGAGUUGUAAAUAAAUAGAAGUGUGAUGAUCAUCAUUAUUAGAGAAUUGUCCCGUGUGAGGGAAAAAAAGAGGCCAAAGAAGCCAAUGAAAAAAAGAGAGGCCAAAGAAGCCAAACAAAAAAAGAGAGAGAAAAAGAGAGAAGGGACAAUGCUAAUCUCCUUUUUCCACACUUGUGCUUCAAAGUAGCACCAUGGUCUUCAUGAUAGAGAGUCUCUUAUUUUGUCACUUUCAUAUAGUAGUGGGAAUUUUCGUUAUAGAACUUGGCUUGUAUAUUCCAACAAUGGGUUUCCUCAAAAUGCCCUAGGUCUUCGUGAGCAAGCAAGUUGGUUGCACACCCACUUAGUUUCUUUUGUUGAGCUUUCAUACAUUUAUAGCUCUAGUGCAUCUGUUGCAUGGCAAUCCCUACUCACUCACAUUGAUAUCUAUUGAUGGGCAUCUCCAUAGCCCAUUAAUAUGCCUAGUUGAUGUGAGACCAUCUUCCUAUUUUUUGUCUUCUCCACAACCACCAUUCUAUUCCACCUAUAGUGCUAUGUCCAUGGCUCACGCUCAUGUAUUGCGUUUAAGUUGAAAAAGUUUGAGAAUACUAAAGUAUGUAACAAUUGCUUGGCUUGUCAUCGGGGUUGUGCAUGAUUUGAACAUUUUGUGUAACGAAGAUGGAGCAUAGCCAAACUAUAUGAUUUUGUAGGGAUGAACUUUCUUUGGCCAUGUUAUUUUGAGAAGACAUGAUUACUUUGUUAGUACGCUUGAAGUAUUAUUAUUUUUAUGUCAAUAUUAAACUUUUGUCUUGAAUCUUUCGGAUCUAAACAUUCAUGCCACAAUAAAUAAAAUUACAUUGAUAAUUAUGUUAGGUAGCAUUCCACAUCAAAAAUUCUGUUUUUAUCAUUUACCUACUCGAGGACGAGCAAGAAUUAAGCUUGGGGAUGCUUGAUACGUCUCCAACGUAUCUAUAAUUUUUUUAUUGUUCCAUGCUAUUAUAUUAUCCAUCUAGGAUGUUUUAUAUGCAUUUAUAUGCUAUUUUAUAUGAUUUUUGGGACUAACCUAUUAACCUAGAGCCUAGUGCCAGUUUCUGUUUUUUCUUUGUUUUUGAGUUUUAUAGAAAAGGAAUACCAAACGGAGUCCAAUUGACGUGCCAAUUUUUGAUGAUUUUUUAUGGACCAAAAGAAGCCCCCGGAGUAAAAUAGUUGGGCCAGAAGAGUCCCAGGCCGUCCACGAGGGUGGAGGGCGCGCCCUACCCCCCUGGGCGCGCCCCCUGCCUCGUGGACGACUCGGAGACCCCCCUGACGUGAGACCGGCGCCAAAAAUUCCUAUAAAUACAGAAACCCCCAGAAAGAAACCUAGAUUGGGAGUUCCGCCGCCGCAUGCCCGGUGCCAGUUUCUGUUUUUUCCUUGUUUUGAGUAUCCCAGAAAAGGAAUACCAAACGGAGUCCAAUUGACCUAAAAAUUCAUGGAGAUUGUUUUUGGAUCAGAAAAGGCCCACGGAGUACCGGAGAUGGACCAGAAGAGUCCCGAGGCCACCACGAGGGUGGAGGGCGCGCCCUACCCCCCUGGGCGCGCCCCCUACCUCGUGGCUGCCUCGUGGACCCCCCUGACUUGUUCCCGACGCCAACACCUCUUAUAUAUCCCCAAACUUCCAGAACAUAACCUAGAUCGGGAGUUCCGCCGCCGCAAGCCACUAUAGCCACCAAAAACAAAUUAGGACCCUGUUCCGGCACCCUGCCGGAGGGGGGAUCCUUCACCGUGGCCAUCUUCAUCAUCCCGGCGAUCUCCAUGACGAGGGGGGAGUAGUUCACCCUCGAGGCUGAGGGUAUGUACCAGUAGCUAUGUGUUUGAUCUCUCUCUCUCGUGUUCUUGAUUCGGCACGAUCUUGAUGUAUCGCGAGCUUUGCUAUUAUAGUUGGAUCUUAUGAUGUUUCUCCCCCUCUACUCUCUUGUAAUGGAUUGAGUUUUUCCUUCAAAGUUAUCUUAUCGAAUUGAGUCUUUAAGGAUUUGAGAACACUUGAUGUAUGUCUUGCGUCGGAUACCCGUGGUGACAAUGGGGUAUUCUAUUGAUCCACUUGAUGUAUGUUUUGGUGAUCAACUUGCGGGUUCCGUGACCUUGGGAAUCUAUGCAUAAGGGUUGGCACACGUUUUCAUCUUGACUCUCCGGUAGAAACUUUGGGGCACUCUUUGAAGUUCUUUGUGUUGGUUGAAUAGAUGAAUCUGAGAUUGUGUGAUGCAUAUCGUAUAAUCAUACCAACGGAUACUUGUGGUGGCAUUGAAGUAUCUAGGUGACAUUAGGGUUUUGGUUGAUUUGUAUCUUAGGGUGUUAUUCUAGUACGAACUCUAGGAUAGAUCGAACGGAAAGAAUAGCUUCGUGUUAUUUUACUACGGACUCUUGAAUAGAUCGAUCAGAAAGGAUAACUUUGAGGUGGUUUCGUACCCUACAAUAAUCUCUUCGUUUGUUCUCCGCUAUUCGUGACUUUGGAGUGACUCUUUGUUGCAUGUUGAGGGAUUGUUAUAUGAUCCAAUUAUGUUAUUAUUGUUGAGAGAACUUGCACUAGUGAAAGUAUGAACCUUAGGCCUUGUUUCCCUGCAUUGCAAUACUGUUUACGCUCAAUUUUACCACUUGCUACCUUGCUGUUUUUAUUUUCAGAUUACAAAAAUCUAUAUCUACCAUCUGUAUUGCACUUGUAUCACCAUCUCUUCGCCGAACCAGUGCACCUAUACAAUUUACCAUUGUAUUGGGUGUGUUGGGGACACAAGAGACUCUUUGUUAUUUUGGUGCAGGGUUGCUUGAGAGAGACCAUCUUCAUCCUACGCCUCCCACGGAUUGAUAAACCUUAGGUCAUCCACUUGAGGGAAAUUUGCUACUGUCCUACAAACCUCUACACUUGGAGGGCCAACAACGUCUACAAGAAGAAGGUUGUGUAGUAGACAUCAGUGGGCGGCCGGGGCGUUGGUGGCGUUGGCUGACUGCUGCUGUCAGGGAGGGGAGGGGAGCGGUCCCGAUGGCGCGACGGAGAGGGAGACCUCCGCCGGGAUGAAUGCCAAGUCUCCGCAGCCGGAGACCGGGGGCGGUCCCGCGAGUCCGCUCGGGGGAAGUGCGCUGAGCAGGUGAGCGGGAGCGACGGCCAUCGCGCUCAGGAUAGCGGCGGUCAGCGUGAGGGGAGGGACGGCGAGUGUCGUGGGCGGGGGAGCGCCAGCGGGGCAGGACGAGAGUUGCUGCCGGAGGUUGGCCUCCCGCCGGAGACCGCCCGGGGAGGACCGCGGGGGGUCACGGCGGUCGUCCGCGCGACGCUUGGGGAAGCCCGCGUCGUCCCCCCAUUCUCGGGGCAUGGCCGGUGGGGGACGAGGGGAGGUCGCGCGGGGGCACGGGUCGGUGGCGAGCAGCAGCAGGCGAGGGCGGCGGGAGGGGAGUCGGGGUGGGAUGCGGGGAGCGCAGGGUCGGGAACGGGCUGGCGAGGGAACCGUAGGGGGCCAAAUGGAGCGCCUGGCUGGGCCUUGACACGUAUCGGUGCGCGGCCAGCAGCCAAGGGGGCCAGGGCGGGCCCAAUUGACCGUCCCAUAGUUCGGCCCAAGGCUAACACACCGGGGGCGGCCCAGCAACCGAGCCGCCCAGGGCGGGCCCAAGAGGACGGCCCAUGGAUCGUCCCAAGGCCACCGUGGCUUGGUUCGUCACCACCAGGGCGACCGUGCGGGGGGGGGCAAGGGUUUCCCCGAGUGCCGCUGCAGGAGCCGCCGGCGGGUGUCGGUGUACAAAAGUAGGGGCUCUCCUUUUUACCCGUCUACUUGUGCACGGGCAGUCAGAGCCGCACCUGCGGCCACACUUAGCAGGACAAAGGGAGGAAGCAAAAGCACAAGACGGGCAAAGCAACGCCAAGACCAUAGACACAAAGAGCAAGAGGGCGAGGUGGACUCCCCCGGCAAGACCCUUGCCGGAGCGGCCUCCGCGGCCCCGGCAAGAGCCUUGCCGGGGCAACUUGCCCAACGCCAGCAGAGCGCGCCACCCUUGAGCCCAAGGGUUCCAACACCAUCAACCACAUUGGAACCAAGGCUCGGGAGGCACCUCCGUGGUGGCAUGCAGAUCUUUGUGAAGAUCAUAAGCACACGAGAUCAGAUGAAGACCAGAAGACGACGACCCUCGGCAAGAUCCUUGCCAAGGAAAUCCAUGAGACCCCCGGCAAGAUCCUUGCCGGGGCCCCGGAGAGACCCUUGCCGAGGACCCCUGCGGGGCCACAGCCAGACCCAUGUCUGCCAAGACUCCACCACCGUUCCCAUACAGCUGUCAGCCCAACCAGCUGGGCAGGCACCUGCCUGGUAAUGUGCGGCUUCUAGGCCAACUCAGCAAGCACCUGCGUGGUGGCAUGCAGAUCUUCGUGAAGACCCUACCACCACCCCAUCUCAGCCGCCUGCCAGCCUACGUGGCACUGCAUGCCUCGUUGGCCUGGACGCGUGUCGGAGCGAGGCGGAGCGGCGAAGGACGGGACGGGCCUCGUUGCCGUCCACAAUAAAGCAACGGGACACCUAAGGGGCGCAUUUAAUGCGUCUUGUCCCAUAAUGACAGGCGAUAAGCUUGUACACUGUAUACCUUUCCACCUCCUGUGUGCCACUGUGGCAACCCCUUUUGUCUAUAAAAGGAGGCCCGAGGUGUACUGGAGAGGGAUUCGGAUCUUUUGGACUACGCACGCACCACAGCUAGUUCGAGAGCUCAAGAACACUCAAAUAUACACCAAAGCAGGACUAGGGUAUUACGCAUCUUCGCGGCCCGAACCUGGUUAAACAAUCCUUGUGCUGACUACCAGACCCGCUCUUUGCACAACCCCACGCCCGCCAACCAUAGAAGGAAUCCCAGUGAUUCCAUAGGUAUCGUUUCCACCGACAUCUUUGGCGCACCAGGUAGGGGCGUGCAGUUGUGGAAAUCUCGUCCGGUUGGAGCAGCGGCUUCGUCGUGGUCGUCACUCCAAGGAAGAAGAUGACCAAACGAGCGGCGUCAUCUGCAGAUGCGGUGAACGCUCACGCAGCGGCAGGAAAGCUAAGUCAUGCGAAACUUUGAGCAAUUCCUUUUUAUAUAUAAGGUUACCGUCCUCGAAGAUCUUGCCCUCUGUAUGGAAAACCUGCAUGCAAUGGGGCCCUGCCACUAUUGGCAACACCCUUCCUCUGUUUCGAGUCCGCUCAACAGUUCGAGCGGCUGCGUUAAGAACGGUAGGGUGACCUUCUGCAAUUGGCAACGCUCUCGUUCUGCCUCGAGUCCGCUCGACAGUUCGAGCGGCCAUGUUAAGAGCAGUGAGGUGGUUUGCCUGGCAGCAAGCACACCCGGCAGGCUAUUGGAGAUUCGUCCUCAAGGCGCCGUGGCCUGGGUUUACGCGCCGGCAAGCCUACCCGAUUAACGUAGGGUGAACAUACAAAGGGAGAUCAAACGGGAAAAUAACAUGCAUCGUUUCAAGGUACUGCAGAGUUAUAUUGCAUCAAUUGUUGCUGCGGUUCUAACUAAAGAUAAAAAUUGUCUUGGUCAUGAACCUGAAGUGGCGAUGAGAAACGGGGUGCCUAAUCCCGACGCUGGCCCUCUACCCUCCAAACUCCGUCGACACGGCUGAUGAUGGGCUCGAUACGCUCCUCGAGCGUCGCGAGGUCCGCAUCCUCCGGCAAGCUCUCCAAAGCGGCGUCGAUGUCGAGGUUGGGUUCCAGUACGCCACCUUGGUGAGGACCUUGGUCAUGACACCCCGGCAAAGCUUCUGGGCCUCAUCGGCCAGGGAGGCCGCCCUGUUGGAGCGGGACUGCUCUAGGGCCCCGAGAACACCCUCGAAGAACAGGGUCAGUUUUGCAUUGUUCGGCUCCGGGGCGUACCUCACGUUCGGCAUCCCCCUGGUAGCCAGCUGCAUGGUGAUCCUGCCGGCAACGUCGGCGAGGCGGCUAACCCAGAGGUUUUCGCCCUUCACAAAAUCCUCGUGGUUGGCGGCGUCAUUCCUCUGCAGCUGCCUCUCGGCCUCCAGAUUUUUGGUCAGGGUCUCCUCCCGGGCCCUGACCUCCGAAAGCGUCCCCUCAAGACCCUCCAGCUUCAGCUUCGGGUCUUUGAUGGAGUCGUUGGCCUUGGAGAGCAGCUCAGCCUUGCCGAGGACUGUGGCCUGCGCCUCAACCAGAGCACCGUUGAGCGUGUCCUUCUCCUUCGCCAGCUUCAGGGCAUGUUCCUUCAGUCCGUCCCGCUCCACCUCCAGCUCUUUCACCUUGCCGACCUGGACCUGGGCCUGAGCAUUGAGUGCCUCCUCGUGCCUCUGCUCCAGCUCCUAGGUCCGCUGCACGACAAGCUUCUCCACCUCCUCAUCCUUGCCGCGGAGUGUUGCGGCAAGCUUCUCCUCACGAGCGGCAAGGUCCUCCUCCUGGGAGUUUAGCUCGGCCUGGUGCUGGUGCCGAGCGGCCUCGUCUUUGGCGGCCUGCUCCUUCGCCAGCUCCUGGGCCUUCUCGAUGUCGGCCUGCUUCAUGAUAAGCUCCGGCUUGCGCUUGGCCAGCAGGUCUUGGGCAACCUUCAGCUCCUGAUGGGCCUGGCGAAACCAAGCCUGCAUCUCAGCGACGUGCCUCGCGAGGUCCACCUCCGCCUUGUCCACCGCCGCCAUCCUGGACUUUGCCUUGUCCAGACGGGCACGGUGGAGCGCCUGGAGCUUCUGGAAGUUGGCGCUCAUGCCCCAAAGGAGCUGCUCCUCCUGGGAACCGCCGCCACCAGCGCUUGGUUCGUCGACAACCUCAAGCCCGGCGGCGGCGAGCACCUCGUCAUCAAACACCUCCCCCUCGGUGGGCGCCCUGGUGCUCGCCGCCCCUGUGAGGUGGACGAACAAGUCGUCACUCACCUUCAAGUACUUGCCCGAGCCGGAGGCGGCAGAGGAGGAAGGUUGGUCAUCGACCGCCCCCUCCUCGGCAGCGCCCUUGCCGGCCUCCUCAGCAGUGGCCUUGCCGGCCUCCCCGGCAGGCCCCUUGGCGGCGUCCUCAUCAGCGGUCUUGGCAGCCUCCUCGGCGGCGAUCUUGUUGGCCUUGGCCUCAGCAUCCCUGGCGACCUCCUCGAUGACAGUAUCGAUGUUCUCCUGGUCCGCCGAGGGAGCGCCUAGAUGCCAAGAAGGAGGAUGAGGCAAAGCCAAGACCAAAGUUCAAAAGAAGAACGAACAGGGACAGAAGGCAAACAACUCACCCGUGCCAGGUUGGGAAGAAGUGGCCCCCUCCCCACAAACAUUCGGUGCCGGGACGGAGCCCCCGGCGCCCGGGUUCUCCUCCUCCUCCUCCGUGUGCAUGGACUCGGUGCUUGGCGCCCUUGCCGGGGAUGCCCCUCGGGGCAGCGUGGUUGAUAGGGGCGGCGUGUUGGGGGUGGCCCUCAGUGGCUCCUCCUACUGCCGUCCUCCUCCUGCAACCACGACAAGGUCAACACCAAGAGAUUGUACCCCAACACACGUUGAUAGGGAGCGAGUGAUGAACGCACGCUGGGGGCUGCGUCGGGGGAUGCUAUCUGGGCUGCUCUCCACCACCACCAGCGUACACGAGGUGCCCGCCGGGGGCUGGCCGUCCAUCGAGGCCCUGGCUCUCUUCGCCACCCUCUGGGCCAGCGUCUCCACAUCCCUGCAAAGAUGAAGACAAGUCAAGAAAAGCAGCACAGUCUGAGGGGACGGAGAUGACAAAAGACAAGAUACUUACUCAUCCUCCGCCUCCUCUUCCGCUGCCUUCCUCUUCCUCCUCGGGCUGAGAGACCCAAGGUCGAAGACGACCUCCGUGCCGACAUCCGCGGGAGGAGGGGAAGCGGGUGGAGUCCGAGGACGCUUGGACAAAGAAGAGGCGGUCGCUUUCCUCUUCGCCACCGCGGCCUUCACCACCUUCUUUGCUCCCGCGGCCCUCGUCAGGCGCACGGACUCCCCUAGAUCUCUUGCCGCUGCUCGGUCAUCUCAGGCUGGACCGGCUCGCCAGAGGUGGCCCGCCGCAGGACACGCCUUUUUUCCAAGGCCGGAGGGUCGUCAGCCUCGGCCUCUUCCUCGGUCGACUCAUCGACCACAUCUUUGAUGAGAGGGGCCCCGGUGUCGGCACUGCUGGCCUCCCCAACAGACUCCGCCCAUCCGACAAGCUCCUUCUCCUCCACGGCAGCCUCGGCCUCGUCCUCCACGUGGCCGGCGCUGCCGGCCUCCUUGGCGAGCUCCGCCUCCGCCGCCCUUGCGGCGAUGUAGUCCAGCUCCGCUUGGGUGGUGUCCUGGAUGAGCAAUGGCUCGGCAUGGACGUACUUCUCUGACAGCUUGUCGAAGAACUCCUGCACCUGAUCCGCCCCCGGCUCGGCCCAAUUUGGGUCAAGGCCGUGCGCGUUGAAGUCCGGCAUCAUGGCGAUGAUGUCGGUUUGGCGAGAAUUGUUGCUCAGCGGGACCACCCCCGCCGGCAACCCAAACAAGGGCCCCUUGAUGACCUUGCCGGCCUUCGCAGCCUUGCCGGACCUCUCGGCCCUGCCGUCGCGGAACACGUCGAGCUGAAAAAGCCUCUGGCAAAAGUGGGCGUGCCCCAUCACCGUGAAGUAGUGGUUCAAGCCAUGGCGAAGCCUCAUGAUGUCGGCCGCGUUCCUGAAAAGCCAGGCUGGCCUCCCCUUGUUAUGCAGUGGAGCGAUUCGGCGACGGAUGAAAUCCGCCCCAAUCAUCUCAAGGGUGAGCCCGGCCACGGUGAGGCGAUGGAUCCUGGUGGUGGCGAUCGUGAGCUUCUCAUCCUUGGCGUCGACUUUGCCCCAAUCAUCUCUACGAACCGGCGGUGCCUGGCGAACCCGGCAAAAUUCCUGCGGGUCCUCCUCCACAAUCCAGCACCACCGGCUCCGCCACUCCUCCCACCUCUCCUUCUGAGCGCCCUCCGGAUAUGUCCCCUUCUCCUGGUUCCUUGGGAUCUAGGCGACACAACCGAAAAUGGCGCCUCCCUUUUGGAUACGGGGAUAGAAGUAGUGGCGGAAGAGCGUCGUGCUAGGAUGCACUCUGACAAAGCCCUCGCAGAGAUAGGCGAAAGGGGCCAUGCACGCCACGGCAUUUGGAGUGAAAUCCAGAAGGUGGAAGCCAUAGGUGUGCAUGACGUCAUUGAAGAAAUCGGAGAAAGGGGGGCAGAGCCCGCAGGAAAAGUAAUCAACAAAGAAGGGGUACUGAUUCGGGCCGGCCUCGGCGAAACCGGCGGGGAUGAUGCGCGUGGCAGGAUGCCCCUUCAUCUUGCACCCCCACAGGGGCUUGAAGUUGUCCUGGAGGUGGACCGCAUCGACCAUCGAAGGAAAGUAGGCGAGCUGCGUCCGCCGCGCCGCCAACUCGCUCUCCGGCGCCUCCUUCCCCCCGGCGUCCUUGGUCGUUCCCUUGCCUUUGCUGGUUUUGGGUACCAUGGCGGCUGAGGGAGACGACGGAUGAGGGACAGCAAAGGCGCAGCGGCGGCGGUGAGCGAAAGCAAGAACUUGAGAAGAGAGAAGGGAGGGGUGGCGGUUCCGAGAUUAGAGAAGGCACAAAGGGUAAAUGGGCGUCGCGAAUGUGGUUUCUCCUUUUCUUUAUGGGGAAGGAGCGGGCCGCUUCGUUACCAUUUACCGUGAUGUGACGCAUGAGGGCAGCAGCCGCCCCACGCACGACCCCCGCGUCACGCACGGCCCUCCACGUCGCGCAUUCAACACGGGUCAUGGGGAAGCGCAGCGAGCGAAGGAGUUACUGCGAUAAAAAUCCGCCCCGCCUGCCCACGCACCGUUCUGGGCCUAGCCCAACAACGUGUUGCGCUUAUGUGUGGCCCAGGCCCGGGGGCUCCUGUCGGUGUACAAAAGUAGGGGCUCUCCUUUUUACCCCUCUACUUGUGCACGGGCAGUCAGAGCCGCACCUGCAGCCACACUUAGCAGGGCAAAGGGAGGAAGCAAAAGCACAAGACGGGCAAAGCAAUGCCAAGACCAGAGACACAAAGAGCAAGAGGGCGAGGUGGACUCCCCCGGCAAGACCCUUGCCGGAGCGGCCUCCGCGGCCCCGGCAAGAGCCUUGCCGGGGCAACUUGCCCAACGCUAGCGGAGCGCGCCACCCUUGAGCCCAAGGGUUCCAACACCAUCAACCACAUUGGAACCAAGGCUUGGGAGGCACCUCCGUGGUGGCAUGCAGAUCUUUGUGAAGAUCAUAAGCACACAAGAUCAGAUGAAGACCAAAAGACGACGACCCUCGGCAAGAUCCUUGCCGAGGAAAUCCACGAGACCCCCGGCAAGAUCCUUGUUGGGGACGACCGCGAUGCCACGGCAAGACCCUUGCCGGGCCCCAGCGAGACCCUUGCCGAGGACACCUGCAGGGCCACAGCUAGACCCACGUCUGCCAAGAUUCCACCGCCGUUCCCAUACAGCUGCCAGCCCAACCAGCUGGGCAAGCACCUGCGUGGCAACGUGCGGCUUCCAGGCCAACUCAGCAAGCACCUGCGUGGUGGCAUGCAGAUCUUGGUGAAGACCCUACCACCACGCCAUCUCAGCAGCCUGUCAGCCUACGUGGCGCUGCAUGCCUCCUUGGCUUGGACGCGUGUUGGAGCGAGGCGGAGCGGCGACGGACGGGACGGGCCUCGUCACCGUCCCCAAUAAAGCAACAGGACACCUAAGGGGCGCAUUUAAUGCGCCUUGUCCUGUAAUGACAGGCGAUAAGCUUGUACACUGUAUACCUUUCCACCUCCUGUGUGCCACUGUGGCAACCCCUUUUGUCUAUAAAAGGAGGCCCGAGGCGUACUGGAGAGGGAUUCGGAUCUUUUGGACUACGCACGCACCACAGCUAGUUCGAGAGCUCAAGAACACUCAAAUACACACCAAAGCAGGACUAGGGUAUUACGCAUCUUCGCGGCCCGAACCUGGGUAAACGAUCCUUGUGCUGACUACCAGACCCGCUCUUUGCACAACCCCGCGCCCGCCAACCGCAGAAGGAAUCCCAGUGAUUCCAUAGGUGUCGUUUCCACCGACAGCGGGUCGGGACGGGAGCGGCGAGGCCAGGCCGGGGCACAUGCGAGACCAGGAGGCGGGGGUAGGGGGCUCCGAAGGCGGAGAUGAACGGGCGGAAGGGGGACCGGCGGGAGAGCACAGCGGCCAACCCAUGCCAAGGCACCGGCGACGCGACAAUCGGAGCAGAGGCAGAGGCGGCGGUGGCGCCGGCCUUCCAGGAAAUUCACGCGGGGCCGCGGUCGGCGCGACUAGCGACACCCCAGCCACCCACGCGGCGGCCGCGACGACGGGAUCCCGGCCUCAAGGUGACACCUUGCCCAACCGUUGACUGAGAAGCGCUCAGUGACCGGCGUCGGCGCCGGGCGGACCCGCAGGCAGCCGAACUCCCACCCCUGGGAGUAGGGCCACCAACGGAGUCGAGCCACGGCACACGGACUGGGGCACGGGGGACGCGGUCACAGUAAACGACGGGGCGCCCGCGGCGAUAUCGUCGGCCUCGGCGAGGUCCGCCCAAACCACACGCGACGAGGCGGCGGGGAGGGUGUCGACAGGGAGGCCGGCGAGGAAGGCAGGGGUCGGAGGGCGGCGUGCGAAGGAGGGGACGAGGACGGCGGUGGCGGCGAGGGAAUCGCCCAGGGCGUCGCCAGAGCCUUCGGGCGCCAUCUCCCCCCCACCCAAAGUUUCUAUGGUAUCCCCUUAAAGGGUUUUCCAAAAAGGGAAGAUGUUUCCCUAUGUUAAUCCAUUGAAGAGGUUCAGUGUCGUAGGGACAGCUAGCUGUUACUUUAGCGUGGGCGCUUUCAGAUGUCAUGUACCACAUUCCACCUCUGUUUUCUGUUUCUUUUUUUUUGAGUUGUACAGUUGUGUUUUCUGAGGUGCUGCCCCCCCCCCCAAUCAAGUUCUGCCUCGGGUCAGGUCAUUCAAACAUAUUAUGGGUUGCCCUAUUCUCAAAACUAGAUUAAGUGUUACAAUUACCUCGCAAAAAAAUUGCAAAUUUUUUCUUCACUCAAACCAUAUCCUAUAUACCUAAGAGAUUGAUCCCCACUACAUGUAAUUAUCUAAGCAUGCAAGCUAUCCACCUCAGCAAAGCUUCCAACUCAGCAAAGGAGAGCCAUCCGUGGGCCAUGUCAUUCUUUUUUUCGAUGCCACACUCACGGUGGAGUUUCCCUCAACGCCUCGACUGUACGAAUUCUGGCCAAUUAACUCCGCACCCAUUGAUUUCUAUCACUAGAUCCUAUCAAUUCAACUUCUCCACUGCAGAAUGUAACCUUUUUUCCUUUCUUUUUCGACAAACUGUGUGCUUUCUCUUCCAUACGCAUUGAUUCCGACCCUGUUCGUCUUCUGUAACUCAAGUCGUUCAUCAAUCAUAAAUGGACAUCAAGCCACUGGGGAUAGACGAACGGUGGAGUCCCAUCUCUUUCGAGUACGUGCUCAAGCAUCCUCCCAGUUACAACCAAGCAACGCCAUGGUAUUCUGGUGAGCCGCUGACCCUCGCGCACUUUACUUUUUUGUGUUUCGCACUCCCUGUUGUCUUCCUGCCAAGGUCUGGCCAGCGUAGGCAAGCCCACGCUCGUUACUAUGGUUUCACAGUCACUUUUUGGCCAAAGAUUGCACGCACAUUAGUCAAUUAUAGAGAUGCAUGAUUAUUAUAUAUUGUAUACUUCCGAUCAUUCUUAUGCCAGGUAGUUUUCACAAAGAUACAAUGCAAAACAUGAUUUUAUCCUAACAGAUUGGUGAAUCCAAUCAUAAGGCUCUCAUCUUCAUCUCACACAUUGGGGAGCUAGCGAGUGUGCCGGUUGAACUUAGACACAUCCAAAAAAAUAGAUAACUUGAAAUCACUAUUAAAUCCUGCAAUGAGAUGAUUCAGUUUUUGAUGAUAUUGAGGAGUUCAGAAAAUUGUCCAAUGAAGAAUGAAAUGGAAGGGAGAUAGUAAAACUUCAUCUAGUCAAUUUAUUAUCUCUUCAAAAGGCUUAUUGGAAACAAAGGGUCACUGUUAAAUGGAUUACAAAAGGGUAGCUAACACCAAAUACCUGCAGGUUAAGGCCACUAUUAAUUACAUAGGGAACCACAUUGUGAGUCUGCAAGAUGAGCAUGGCACUAUGCACCAAGAUCAUAAGUCUAAGGCUGCAAUUUUGUGGAGGGCACUUAAAAAUAGAUUGAGUAACAGAGUUCCCACUUUCAAUUUGUUACAGCUAGACACCCUAAUUCAGAAAAACCACAAUCUGAUGGAUUUAGAAAAACCUUUUUCAAAGGAAGAAAUAUACACAGUUGUUAAAGAGCUACCUUUAGACAAAUCUCUUGGGCCUGAUGGAUUUAACACUAACUUCAUCAAACACUGGUGGGACAUCAUUGCUCCUGACUUUUAUCUUCUGAUUGAGGAUUCUUAUCAUGAGAAAAUCAAUCUGCAAAGCAUUAACUCUUCCUACACAACUCUACUGCCAAAGAAAGAUGCUCCUGUCACUCCAAAUGAUUUUAGACCCAUCUCUCUACUGAAUUGUUCAAUUAAAAUCAUCACAAAAUUGCUGGCCAAUAGAUUGCAAGUUGUGAUUCUCGAUCUAGUUCAUAAAAAUCAAUAUGGAUUCUUAAAACAUAGAUCAAUUCAGGAUUGCCUUGCAUGGUCUUAUGAAUUCAUACAUCAGUGUCAACAAUCUGGCCAAGAACUUAUUAUUCUCAAAAUUGAUUUUGAGAAAGCCUCUAAUAUGGUUGAGCACAUGGCUAUUAGAGAAUUACUUGUUGCCAGAGGUUUUGGGACAAAAUGAUUGAUGUGGAUAGAUGUGAUCUUUGCUUCUAGAUACCCCUCAGUGCUGCUUAAUGGGAUUCCUGGCAAAUAGUUUAAGUGCAAAAAAGGAGUUAGACAGGGGGACCCUCUCUCCCCAUUGCCUUUUGUCAUUGCUGUAGAUCUGUUGCAAUCAAUUCUUAAUGAAGCUCUGUUGGAAUCAAUUCUUAAUGAAGCAAUGGCACAUAAUUUAAUCCAAGCUCCAGUCAUGCCGGUUCCUUGCAAAGACUUUCUUGUCAUACAAUAUGUUGAUGAUACUGUUUUAAUCAUACAAGCUUGCUUUGCUUAGUUAAACCAGCUCAAGAACCCGUUGAUGCACUUUACAACCUACACUAGACUCAGGAUUAACUUUCAAAAAUCUGUCAUGGUGCCUAUAAAUACCCCUCAUAGUAAAAUGCAAGAGUUGUCUCUGUCUUUGGGAUGCAAGAUUGGAUCCUUCCCAUUUACCUACUUGGGCUUACCUUUGUGUCUGGCUAAACCUAAGAUUCGGGAUUUCAUACCCACCAUGCAGAGAAUUGAGAGAAGGCUAGCUGGAUCCUCUUCCUUUUUAUCUUAUGGUGACAAGCUGGUGUUGGUCAGAUCUGUUUUCUAUAGCCUGCCAAUCUUUUUCAUGUGUACACUUACUUUGCCAAUGGGAGUUAUGGAGCAGAUUAACAAAUACCUCAGGCAUUUCUUUUGGAGAAAAUAUGGUAUGGAAAAUAGAGGAUCAGCUCUAAUUGCCUGGGAAAAAGUUUGCACGCGAAAAGAGAAAGGAGGUCUUGGAGUUCUUGAUAUUUCUCGUCACAACAAAUGCUUGCUAAUGAAAAAUCUGCAUAAAUUUCUCAACCAACAUUAUUUGCCAUGGGUACAACUGAUUUGGGAGUCUUAUUAUCCAGAUAAAGUGAUUACUGAAGCUCCCCAGGGAUCCUUUUGGUGGAAAUCAAUUCUCAAACUUCUUCCACAGUACAAAACAGUUGCCAAACCAACAAUAGGUAAUGGAGAUAUUGUCAUGCUAUGGCAGGAUAUUUGGUACAAUGAGCCCCUUGAAGUGAAGUAUCAUGAGCUUUUCUCCUUUAGUCUGAAUGAGCACAUAUCUGUCAAGCAGUUGUUGAACUUGGAUGAUGCAUCUCAGCACUUUCACAUGCCACUCUCAAUACAAGCAUUCCAACAGUUUCAGAUCCUAACCAACUCUAUGCAACAAAAUGUUCUGUCUGUAAACUUAGACAAAUGAUCUUAUCCCUGGAAGAAUGCAGGAUAUUCUUCUAUUAAGAUGUAUCAAAAUAAUUCAAAACUCAAGGCAAAGCCCAAAAGCGCUCAGCUCCCCAGUAACGACGCCAGAAAAAGCUUGAUGGCCUACAAGUGCAUAGGGUUUAGUUGUAGCCUUUUCGAAGUAAGAGUAUCAAUCCCACAUGGAGCACAUGAAUCAGACUUACGCCUCUUGUGGUCAAUUAUGUAUUUUUAUGCCUGUAGAUAAUUAUAGACUUAAAGCAAAGUGAGGGCGGUAAUAAAUUGUGAUUGAGUGGUGAAAUGAACUUUUAAAGUAAAUAAUAUAAAAGUAAAUAGAGAACAGUGACUAGAGUGACAGAUGAAACAACAGAGGAGUAAGGCGUUCUCAGGGAGUCUGGAAUCCCCAUUGGCAUGUUUCUAGCGCACCUAUGCAUGGGCGUAGUAUGAGAUGGAUACUUGAGCCACUGUUGACAAUUAUGCUAGGCGGAGCCGGUUAUAGUACACGUUCUACUCGAAAUAGACUUUGUGCCAUGCACGCCACCAUCAUAGUCUCCCCCUUAGGGUUACAACUCAUGAUAAUUAAGGGUUUACCCCGUGGACGCGGGCUCUCUAAGGGUUCUCCGUAGUUCCCCUAUCAAUUGCAAAGGUUAGGAGCAAAAGGAUUUUACUGACACCUUGAAUUACCUCCACAUCAUAGCCCUUUACAAUGACAGUGAUAUACUUCGUGGCCAUAAGGCACAAAUGUUGAGUGGGGCCCCUUCACAACAUUCACGAAGUUAUUAAACUAAGCAUUCAACAGGGAAUCUCAUAUCCAAAAUGACGUUUGAGAUCUUAUAGAUACCAAGGUUCAUCAUAUCCCCGAGAACUAGGGGUCUACUCACAAAUGGAGACAACAAACAUCAUGACAAGGGUAAUGGCAUACAUGGACAAAUGGUUCAAAUAACACACAAGGUGAUCCACUAGGGUUCUUGAUGUUACACUGAAAAUGAUGUUGAAAUGAUCUAGAUGACGACUAGAGGGGGGUGAAUAGGCGUUUUAAAACUUUUACGGAUUUGGCUUUAUCCUAAUGCGGAAUUAAACUAACGGAUACUUUUCAAGCACAAAUCCUAAAUAUGCUAGGCUCAACUAAGUGCACCAACAACCUAUGCUAAACAAGAUAGGCACUUAAGGAAACUAGCAAGCACAAACUAUAUCAGAAGAUAUGGAAAUGUAGGAACAACUAAGCAAUUCAACUAGCACAAGAUAUAUCAAUAUGAGCAAGUAUGAAUUGCGGAAAGUAAAGGGUGUGGGUAUGAGAUAACCACAAGUGAGUCGGGGAUGCGGAUUUAUCCCGAAGUUCACACUCAUGAGAGUGCUAAGCUCCGUUAGAGCGGUGCCGAAGCCAAAGCUCUGGGGCAUCACCAAGUGACUCACCGUAUUCUCCCUUCCGAGUCACCCCCAACGGAUGAGCAUCGGUUCACUCGGGGUUGGUCUUGAAGGCGACCACCACACCUUUACAAACUUCUGCGGAGCACACCACACCCACGGAAGCUUCCGGAGGAACUUGACCACCUAGGCCACUUCACACCCUUCCCCGGAGCACACCACAAAAGGAAGCUUCCGGAGGAACCUUGGCCACCUAGGCCUCUUCACAAACUUCUCAAAGAUAUCACCAAACCGUCUAGGAGGCUAAGCCUCCAAGAGUAAUAAACUCACGGGCUCUCACUUGAACAAAUCGUGCGGGAAGCUCAAACCAAUGCAACAAAUGCAAUGCAAGGUCAAGCAACAAAUGCUCAACUCACUCUCUCAAUCUCACAAGAUGCAACUCAAGAAAGUAGGAGAUUGAAGAGAGGGGAUGCAUUGGAGGAAAUCAACAAAUGACUCCAAGAUCCAUCCACAAAUCCUCCUUCACAUAGAGGGGAGAUAGGGGUUUGGGAGAGGUGGUAUGAUACUUAAAAUGAUGUUUAGAAAGUGUAUGAACAACGCCCCAACCGGUGGGAGGAAGGAGCCCUUAAAUAGCCAAAACCCAAAACUAGCCGUUGGGGCUCAACGGGCAGUUCCUGGACACCCCGUGCCCACGGGGGUUUAGACCCUGUGCCCACGGGGUCCCAUGUGCAUGGUACAAGCCUGUGCGCACGGGGACUCGUUCCCACGGGGGUAAAAAACCCCGUGUCCACGGGGUACCCAGAACUGCGUGCAGCAGCCCACUAAAACAGUGAUAACUUUGGCAUAUGGACUCCAAAUUCGAUGAUCUUGGGCUCAUUUUGAAGCUAUGGAAAAGCCCAAGGUCCUCGCAUAGAGAACCACCCAAGAUCAACAAGAAAGAAUGACGCAAGUAAUGCAAAGGUUUGAGCUCUCUUCAUGUGACGUGAUCAAGCUACUCGCCCGAAAGUCCCUCUUGAUAGUACGGCUAUCAAACCUAUAAUCCGGUGUCCCACCAAGCACUAUGAGACCGAAAAACUAGGAAAACCAAGCUAAGUUAUACCUUUUCCUUGCACAUUCAACUUGAGCUUGAUGAUGGCUUUGAUGCUUGCCUCAAGUUGGAAUCUUUUUCUUGUCCACAAUCACUUGAUGAAGAUACUCGAAAUGCUUCCUCAUAUUGCAAUGAGGGAAGCCUUAACUUAUGCCCAUCUUCACAUGAACAUCGUCAUGAUGUGGACCGCAAGAUUCAAAGCAUAUAACCUCCGGCUUCUCGUAUUGCACUUGGACUCCUCAAACCCGAUGACCAUCACCACUUGAUGUCAUCCACACAUAGGCUACUUGAAAUCUUUCCUUUUGAUGCAAGCCCGUGAGAAACACCUAACCCACAUAGUCAUAACAAACACAUAGCAUGGGUUAGGCAACAAAGCACAAUUCACAAUUACUUACCAUACCACUAGAUCACUUGAUCCCACGUGGUACAAUGUUUAUGCUUUGAGAGUUGACCAUCUAGAUAAUUUUCGAGCUUGAUCUUGGUCAACCAACAUCUUUACUUCAUGUCCUAUCUUGGUUUCUUGAAAGCCACAAUGAACUCUUCAUUUCCUUUCAUUGCUUCAAGAAAGAGAUCACCACGGACUCUUUCAUGACCAUACCAAGUUUCACUAUGAAUAUCAUAUUGGUCAUCAUUUGCUCUUCCAAAAACUCCAUCAUAAUCUCUUGAGAGGCACAAUGAAUUCUCCACUCUAGUUGCUUGCUUCAAGACUUGAUCAACCGAAAACCCAACACAUGAGCUUACCAUGAUCUUGUCUUGAAACCAUAACUUGAAUUCUUCUAUUUGUUUAUACUCUCAAGCUCUUGAUCCUUAAAAGCCCACAUAUGUCAAUCUUUGAGAUCCUCUAACGAACUCCACCUUGAAUAUAUUUGGUUAGACAUUAAAAUCAAUCUUGAUGGCUUCAACAUAAAUCCCCAAAGACCAACUUGAAACCUCACUGGAUAUGUGACCGCGAGUGCCAAAACCUAGGCCCCGCACGGGGGUUAGGGACCCCUUGCGCAUGGGGUAUCCAGAGAGUUGACACUCGACUCCGUGCGCACAGGGUCAGGAGGCCCAUGCGAAUGGGGUAUCCAAAGAGGGAUAGCAUGAGGACUUCUUAGAAUUUUUUGAUGGUAUUCUUCCCACAUAAAUCCAACAUGCUUCAUGCAUCACUAUGGAACAUUUCUUCAUAUAGGAUUCAAUGCACUUGAUGCUCCAUAGGAAUUGUCCAUGAAUACCAAAGCUUAGAACAAAUAUAUCUUCAUAUAUAUGGACUUCAUCCUUGAUUCCAUCCUAUAUCCUUGAUGCACCAUCUAUGGACAAUUCCUUCAAAUAUAUCUCAGUGAAAACACUAGUCCAUAGAGAUUGUCAUUAAUCACCAAAACCACACUUAGGGGCUACAUGCCCUUUCAGAUGUGGAUGAGGAUGACAGUGGUGAUCACUUUGGUGAUGGUGAUGACGUUGAAGCCCCCUUGUGUGCGGUGAGGAAGAUCCCCUUCUUCUUCCUGCCAAUCCCUCCUCCGGAUGAACCCCGAAGGCUAGGGUUUUGCCUUCUAGAUGAGUUUCUGGUGUCUCUGGGCGUCAGAUCCACGAUCCAAUUUCACGGGGUAGAAAUAGUUGAUCCGGCGGCGGCGAUGACACUAUAUACGACCGCUCAGGGUCAUAUGGAACGUUGUCUUUUGCCCUGGAAGCACAACGAUGAUGUCUUCUUUGGCCUUCUUGCUUGAUUCUUUUAUGAUAGGUGACUAUCACUUUAAAUACGUGAUUCACUACCAUUUCCAGGGACUUCUUCCAUAUUAUGCUAAGUGGUCCAAAAGGCAUUACCUAAGGGAUUAUCAACAAAAAGAGGUGCGCGAACGCUGUAAAAUUCCACAAAGCCUACUAUGUAGGCACAACAUACCUACUAAAAUUAUCACAUAAAUUGGACUCAUCAAGAUGCGCAUAUGGCUGAGGCACUAGCCUUACGAUUUGGUCUCAAUUUGGCAACUAUAGUUGGGUGUAUUGCAUAGAGGUGAACUCCGACAACAUCGAGGUGAUAAAGACAAUGAAGAAUGGAGGUCCCUCUUUCGGUCUAUCGGCGGCAGUAUUUGACGAUAUUUAUCACCUUCCAUGUGACUUUUCGCAUAAUAUUUUUGAGCAUGCUUCUAGAGAGACUAAUUAUCCUACCCAUGAUUUAGCCAUGCUAGCUAGAAGUAAGGUGAGUGAAGAUCCACCUGUAGAGAUUGUUGAUACUCUUGUAAAAGAUACUAUGGUGAUCCUUGUAAUAAAGAGUACUCUGAUGUAAAAAAAACAUACAAAACUUGCCAUCCCUUUUACAAUAAAAUGAAUCCAUGGUUAAAAAAGAUUCAAAAAAUAUUUUAUAUAUAUGGAAAACAAAAUUUGACAUGACUAGAUGAUUACAUAUAUUUGCCAUGACUUUUAAAAAACAUUUGCCAUGUAUAAGAAACUAUUUGACAUAUUUCUGAAACUUUUCAUGGUUUAAAGAAAAUGCCAUGGAUGUAAAAUUUCAUUGUACAGCAGAAAUGCAAUUUGCCAUGGCUUCGAAGUUGAAUUUGCAAAAAAGAAAUUCUAAAACUCGCCACCUAAAUGAACUGACCGAAAUUUCUUGAUAAUGCAAAAAAACAAGAUUUCCAAAAAAAAUUGACAUUCGAGUUUACGGAACUAUUUAGGAUUUGCCACGGUAUUAAAAAUUGACAAGCUAUUUUAAUUUAAAUUUCCAUGUGUUGUAUGAGAGAUUUGAUGUGUAUGUAAAAAAUAACACAAAAUUAUGGACAGAAAAAAUGCCAUGGCAAAUAAGAUUUGUCACGGUACAGUAGGUAGGUUUGCCAUGCUCAAAAUAAUAUAAAGCAAAUUUGCCAUUCGUUGUAGAGUUAAAUUGCCAUUGGAUUUAAAGUUAAUUUUCCCAUGCUUGCAAAGGUUAAUUUUCCAUGGGAUUUAAAGUUAAUUUGCCAUGGGUUUUUGAAAAUAAAAUUGUCAUGUGAAAGCGUAAGAAAAUGCCAUCGGGUGGAUGCAAGGUUAAUUUGCGAUGGACUUCGAGUUAAAAAUGCCACGGGUUUUUAAAAUAAAUUGCGAUGGCAUGUAUUUGCUAUUAUAUUGACAUGUAUGUAAAAAGGUUAAAAAUUGCCAUCCCAAUAUAGGUAAUUUUGGCAUAGCAAAAAAAGUAAAAAAUUAGGUAUGGCAAAUUUAAAAGUAAACAUUUCAUGGCAAAAAGAAAGUGAAGAAUUUGCCAGUGCAUUAUAGGUAAAUUUGCUGUGUCAAUAUAGGUAAAUUUGCCAAGGCAUUAUAGGUAAAUUUGUCGUGUCAAUAUAGGUGAAUUUGCCAUGGCAACUAAAAGGUAAUUUUGCCAUGGCGAUCAAACAGCAAGGCAAGUUUCCUCAUUUUUCUGGCCAUGAACAACUCAUGGCAAUAGUAUGGACAAUAAUGGCAAACAAUAUGAAAAAAACAUGGCAGAAACCGAUAUACACCCUGCAGUGAACAGUCAUAGGUUUACUGAUUUGCUAAAGUUCAACAAAGAUACAGUGCCCUAUACUGAGUAUUGAUUACCAUAACUAUGUUUGUCAUGAUCAUGUUACUGAAAAAAACUUCCGUGUUUCCCACACUAAAACUACCCCAACUCACCCCUCCAAAAAUUGCCAACCACGUCCAUAGAAAAAAUAGCCAUCUUAUUAAGAAAGUUGCCAUGGUACAACUACCAUGGUGUUUUGCGUGCUUGUCUAGCCAAUGUAUAUGGAUGUAAUCCUUCAUGGAUAUCUGCUCAAUGUACUCUAAAACUGAAAAUGCUACUCCUCUCCAAACAGUGAGACUGCAAUCACAAAAAUAUGUUGCGCAACUGCUGCAUCAUGGCUGCCAAAUUUACAGAAGAUGAACAGAACAAACACUGAAAGCGUCAAGGGCAGUACGUUGCAAAUUUACAUAUCAGAAUUUUCGCUGGCAAAUUGCUGUGCACUGAUAUUUUUGUCUAUGGAUCAGCCAUGAUAGCUAGUGGUCCCGACUAUUUGUAUCUGAGAAAAUUAUCUGAUAAAGCAAUUAUUUUAGUGCUUAAGUUUCUGCGGAAGGUUUAGUUAUUUUUAUAUGAUUUGGCACUGAUUCUCCCUUUUUUAGUUGCAAAGUUGCAGGCAAAGUAUUAUUGAGCAUUGACACGGGUUAGUUUCUGUUUCAUGCUCAAUAACGGAACCAAAGGGAGCAAGUCGUUUUGGUUGAAAUCAAGUACUGAACUCAAGUGGUAGACUUUUUAAACGAGAGGCCAGAAGACCGACAUUCCAUUAAUAAACGUCAUGCAUGAUAGGAGUUCUCGUAAGAGCACGUGAAAAAUAAAGAAUCAGCAUAUAUUUCACUUAUUCCAGGAACUGAAGAAAACUCAUAAUGCUCUUAUUUUCCUAAGCUUAUUCUGGAUCGUUUUCUUACUACAAAUUAGAGAGGACUUGGCAGCCUCAUCUAGAGGCAGUUGCAACUACCAUCUUUAUGGCAAAUCCCACCUCCGCAGCCCGCUUUUUUGCAGGCAGUAACACAGCCUUGUUGCGUACAAUUGACUUGGUAGGGUUCCCGAUUGCCGCAUAUGCCGUUUUGCAGACCUAUAAAGGUGAAAAGAAAAAAAAUGUGAAUCAGAACCGACAGCAGUUCGUAAUUAAACUCAGAUAAUCUGGAAAAAAAGGUACGCAUAUUAUGCAAAUAUCAGGAUAGAAGAGGCGCGCGAAUACAAAAACGGGCGCAACAACUAGUGGUAUGUUAUAUCCCAUUGUCAUCGUUGAAGUUAUGAUGGAAUCAAUAUACCAGGUUGGAGUCAACAACCACCAUGGCUAGUACUGGCAGUUCAAGACUAGUAUCAAAACAUGUACUCCCUCCGUUCCGAAUUAGUUGUCGCAGGUAUGGAUGUAUCUAGAUGUAUUUUAGUUCUAGAUACAUCCAUUUCUUCGACGAGUAAUUUUGAACGGAGGGAGUAGUAUUAAGAUAUGUUCCGCGGCAGUGAAGGGGUGCUAAUCAUAAAACACGGGCAAAACAACCAUGCCAUUGUUAAAAUUUAGAUUGUAUACUUGAGUCAUGGACCAUCGAACAAAAACAGGCAACAGAUUCAGACUUCUCUGUAUCCGUGGGUGCAGCAGGCCAUGCAAUAGAUUCCAAACAGGAGAAUCAAGCAAGAGGAUAAAAUGUGGCUCCCGGAAACCACAAAUUUCUCUAUAAUAAAGUUGAUAAGCUCUCCUGGAAAGAAAUGUACCUAUGUUGUUUCUCCCUGAUACUUGACUCGUCAAGCAAGUGGUCGAAAUCAGCAAAAGAGCCAUCAAGCACACAAACCUUAAGUUGAUUAGAGCCAUAACGAAGUUUUUUACUAUUUCCUUGAUUCCUUCUACUAUUGUAUAUUUGGUCGUGCUUGUGGUGUUUAGUUGGAUCCUUCCGCUGCUGUUUAUAUAGAUAUAGAGGCGCCUUGGAGUACCAUAUUUUGCCGUUUUAUUAUUAUUAUUAUUAUUAUUAUUAUUAUUAUUAUUAUUAUUACUUCCUGCAUUAGUGUUUCCUUUGUAUGGUUCGCGGUA
rnacentral:lncRNA from 1 species